GCUUUAGCUUCACCACCAAAAACAUCAACAAGAUUUUUCCAAAUCCACGAGGCAUAAAAUCAACCUAUACAACUCUCCAAAAAAUCCAAUUGCAAAUCCACACCAAUGCAGCAACCAAUAGACUGCUGCUGACAUGUACAUUUCCUGAUCCACAACAUCUUCUCAUUUCCAUUAUAACCCCUUCUCUCCUCCAAACCAAAAUAGACUACAAUAACCAUCGGCAAACAAACCAAGUCAACCUAAAGCCUUAGGCACCAUGGCAACCUCUGCUAUCCAACAAUCUACUUUUGUUGGCCAGACCGCUUUGAAGCAGUCCAAUGAGCUCUUACGCAAAGUCGGAGCUUUCAAUGGUGGUCGUGUUACCAUGCGCAGAACUGUGAAAAAUGCCCCUACUAGCAUCUGGUAUACUUUUGUUACUACUUCCUAGUACUAACUAGUAGCAUUUUGUUAUAAGGAUCUUUUCAGUCUAAUCAUUGAUGGUUAACCCAAAUAUUGUGAAACAACGGACUGUAAAAAAUUCAAUUUGUACAGUACAUUCUAGCAGCAAUCUGCCUUAUUUUAAGCCAUACAUUUAAAGAGAAAUAACAUGUACAAGCGAAAUCAUGCAACUGAACUAUAUUUCUGCUUUUUGAUCUGAUUACCUACGGUUUGGUUUUAAAAACAGGUAUGGCCCUGACCGCCCAAAGUACUUGGGUCCAUUCUCAGACCAAAUCCCAUCAUACCUGACAGGUGAAUUCCCUGGUGACUAUGGGUGGGACACUGCUGGGUUAUCAGCUGACCCUGAGACAUUUGCUAAGAACCGUGAGCUUGAAGUGAUCCACUGCAGAUGGGCAAUGCUUGGUGCCCUUGGUUGUGUCUUCCCUGAAAUUCUUUCAAAGAAUGGAGUUAAGUUCGGAGAGGCAGUUUGGUUCAAAGCUGGAUCUCAAAUAUUCUCCGAGGGCGGCCUUGACUAUCUUGGCAACCCAAACCUUAUCCAUGCUCAGAGCAUUCUUGCAAUCUGGGCAUGCCAAGUUGUGCUCAUGGGAUUUGUUGAAGGAUACAGAGUUGGUGGGGGACCACUUGGUGAAGGACUGGACCCAAUUUACCCAGGUGGUGCUUUCGACCCACUUGGACUGGCUGAUGAUCCUGAUGCGUUCGCAGAAUUGAAGGUUAAGGAGAUCAAGAAUGGCCGCCUUGCAAUGUUCUCCAUGUUUGGAUUCUUUGUCCAGGCUAUUGUCACAGGAAAGGGUCCCAUUGAGAACCUCUUUGACCACCUUGCCGAUCCGGUGGCCAACAAUGCAUGGGCUUAUGCCACUAACUUUGUCCCCGGAAAAUGAACUUAGAUUAUAGAUACGUCUCUGAAAGCUGUAACAUUAAUUACUAUGUAGUGUCUGUUGCUGUGUACUGAUGUAAUUCACUGCUAGUCUUUUGAGCUGUUGUAUCAUUAAAGCCAUAUCCUUUUUCCCUGAAAUAGCACCUUUCUUGAAAUGAGAUGAGAUCAUAAAUCAAAUGUUUUAUUUUGUAGUAAGAGGCUGCUUCAGUUUGUUGAUAUAAAUAAAGCGCAAGAAACAUAUCUAGCCAUUUCUAUAAACCCUCAAAAGUGAUGACAAAACACAACCUGAAGACCAUAAAGUUAUCAUGGGGGUCUUCCCUUUCAGUCCUGUUGAAAGAUGGCAAUAAUACCAGCCAACAUCUGAGGUAAUCACCAAAAAUAUUUGCAAGAACACAAUCCAUCUUUAAAAUGAUGAAACCGGCUAUUAUCUCUAACAAUAAUCUCACGACUAUAGAUUUUAGAAAGCAGUUUAGUGACGGAAUGGCAAUCACUACAAACACGAAGGUUCUUCAUGAUGCGAAUGGGACAUCCAGCUUCAGUGUUGAUGAGACCAAAGGCAAUAGCCAACCUCUCACUAUGGUUUUCCAAUUCUGCUUCUUUCUCUUCCUCCUCUUCGAUAUACAACAACACUUGGCUUGUGUCAGGAACAUGUCCUGCCAAUUUCAACUUCUCUCCCAUCUCAGCCAAUUUGGAAUAAAUUUCUUUUGUUUCCGGAUGUGAUUUAUCUCCCACAAUAAAGUUAUUAACCACACAUUUAUGCUCUAUUGAACUGCAGCCGGGAUCUUUUCUUAAUCCUCUCUUCUUCAUCAUUUCUCUUACCUCAGAAACUUUCUCCCACUCACCUGCUAGAUCAUACAUAUUAGAAAGGACAACAUAACCACCAGUAGUCUCUGAGCCAAUUCAAUCAAAUGUUGAGCAGCAUAUUCACCUAUUUUUGUGUUUCUAUGGUUCCUAGCACCACUAAGCAAUGUCAUCCAGAUUACUUUGUUUGGUCUCAUGGGCAUUUCUUCAAUGAUAUCUUUUGCUUCUUCAAGACAACCAGCUCGGCAUAAUAUGUCCACCAAACAUCCAUAAUGUUCUAUAGUAGGUUUAAUUCCAUAUUCAUUUAUCAUCGUAUUAAAAUAUUUGUGACCAUCGUUAAUCAAUCCAACAUGACUACAAGCAUUAAGCACACCAACAAAAGUUAUAGCAUUAGGCUUCACAUCAAUUCUGCGCAUUUCAAGAAAUAGCUUCAGAGCAUGGUCAGCCAUGCCAUGAGUACUCAAGCCUACGAUUAUAGCAGUCCAAUGCCCCAGCUUUUUGUGGCUUAUUGUCCAAAAAACAGUUACUGCACUAUCAAUAUAUGUUUUAAUAUUAUCAAUACUAGAACAAAUUAAUUCGAGACUAUAACUUGUCUUUUCUUAAUACAUACAUAGUGUACGAGCCAGAACCGCACCUUUUCCAGCAAUGGAUGACUAGACUUGAGGGUGCAAGGUGAACGAACACUCUUUUCCGAUAGUGGUUGGGUACCAUAAAGCCGUGGCAAUGGGCUCAAUGUUUCAAUGACGGGUUUCGAUGUAAUCAUAUGACCACCAACUUGGUAGAGGCAGUUAACUCCGUAUUGAAGAACACACGAUAUCUUCCGAUUUUAUUUGUGUUCUCGGCUAUGUUCUACAGGUUGGCUACCUUGAUGCCAAGAAUGGGGCUGAAACAAGUCAACCAGAUUAAUGCGGGACACGUGUUUGUCGAAGAUGCCAGGGAUGCAAUGGAUGCAAACAAUUGGAGGACGAGGUCGAUAAAUAUAGAAACAUAUUCACAACAGUCUAAAACAUUUCAAGUUACAGAGACCACCGAUCGUUGACCUGAUAUCCCAUCUAGGUCCUAGGAGUUGAUUUCUGAAACAAACGGUGCGAUUGUGGGAGGUUCCAAACACUUCAUUGUCCUUGUGUGCAUGUCAUGACAGUCUGUGCUCGCGACUCGUUCAAUGUUGAAUAGUUUAUCGCUGAGGUGUAUACUCUCGAGCACAUGUUGCAUGUUUGGGAAAACGAGUUCCCCAUCCUACUUGAUUUGUCUAUAUGUGAGGUGCCUACAACUACUUUUGAGCUUGUCCUGGACAAGAGGUAGCGUAGUAAUCCGAAAGGUUAUCUGCAAUCAACCAGAAUCCAUAAUAAAAUGGACAUUAGCGAGAAAACCAAUGGAAAUCUUUGUGGCCUGUGCAGAUUAGCUGGGCAUAAUCGGAGUAAAUGCUUACAACGAACCUACCAUAUAGGUCAAUCAUCGCAAUCAGGUGGAAAUUGAGCCAAUGUACUCCACUGCAUCUAAUUUAUAUUACAAUGUUUGUAAUUUUGCAUUUAUAUUAUAAAGUUUGUAUUUUUUUCAUUUAUAUUACCAAAUAUAUAUUUUUGCAUGUAUAUAAGUUGAUAAUUUAUACCUUAGACCAUCUCAUUUAAAUUUAGUACCAAAAAACCUGAAAGUUAAGUAAAAAAUAAGUUUAAAUGCCCAAAUUUUACUACAAUUAAAUACAUACAAACUUGAUCAUUGAAAUGACAAAAACCCUAAAAAUUGAUAGUUUGAUGGUGUGGUCCUAGGGGUAAAUUGUUGUGGUGGUUGGGUUCACGUUGAGGGUGCUCGCGGUGAUCAAUGUAGUCCUCACCCAAACCUGGGGGUGUGUUAAAAAUAGUGGAAAAAUCGUAUGCCCCAAACGUUUGUUUGGGAGGAGCAGAGUAUUGCAGUGGUAAGGGCUGAAGAUAUCAAACGUCAUCGAUGAUAUCGAAUCAGGUAUAUUAGAACUGGAUCCGAGAAACCCUGAAUGAUAUCAGUAACCUGAUGAGCCCGGAAAAUAGUCAUCGACCCCUAGGUCUAGAUGAUAAGAACUAUCCCCAGACCGUGUAUGAGACCUCGGGGGUUUGGGCGUUGGCUCGGGUUCGGACGAAGGCUCUGGCUCGAGUACAGGAGACAAAUGUGGAAGGGGAUGGGCGGGUUGCCCAAGCCGUGGUAUGUGUAGGCGAACUACAGUCGAUUGCCCACUAAAUAUAUAGGGUUUUCCCUUCUUGGAGUACCAUAGUAUGUAUUGUAACGAGGGCUGCAAAUCCAAUGAAAGAUCCAUCUGAGGUCUCCACCCUAACCAGUUGUUCCACACUGCAAUAUAUUGUUGAUGCACUACUGCCCAAUUAUUUCCCUAUUUUUCCCUCUUAUUAAUCCUGUGAAUCUUCCCCAAUUGCACUGGCGGUACCGAGAUAUACUAUAUGCAUCUGAACUAUCAGAAUAUUCGAUCCCCAUUAUACCAUUCCACUAUCUAGAAAUUGAUAAUGGCUGCGUUAAUACACCAUAGGUGUGAAUGGAUGUGGGCAAAUGAGGGAAUCACAGCCAUAAUUUGCAGGAAGGAAUAAGACAUCCAGAUGAACUGCACAAUUAAUAACAUGGUUAUAUUAACAUGGUUAGAGUAAGAUAUAUAAAGUAAUUACAUGUCAGGAAUAUUGGAAUAGCUUACCCUUUCCCUAACAUGUGUUUCAAUCAUCAGACGAUAUAUUGGAACCAUGUAUGUCCUCCCGAUACCCAGAUUAGUACUCCAUCUAUGAAAACAAAAACUUGUUAAAAUAGUAUCAUUAGAAAAAAAUGUCAAAUAAUUGUUAUAAUUGGACAAAUUGUGUCACCUAUUCACGAGUGGAAAUACAUAUGCUUGGUGACUAAUCGAUGCUGAGAAUGACAUCCGGUAAACCACCCAAGACUACAGCAAUAUGAGGCAUCCGCCUAUGUCCGUGACAAAAGGAUUUGUCGCCCGAUAAAGCUCGCGAUAUAGCAUAGCUAGUACUACAGAACCCUAACUAUAUGAACGGAGGUUUUGCAAAUCAAUUAACAGGGGCAAGCACAUCAAAUAGACCUUGUUGUUGUUUGCAUCUAGUAUGAGUACACCCCCUAUAAUGUGUAUAAUGUAUGCUCAAGUGACGCACAUCACUUCUCGCUCAGUGGCAUUAAUCGGUAAAUUCUCGAAAUUGGCCUUCAGCUAUGAAAACCUCAAACCCAAAAAAUUUAACUUAACAUCACCGAGCGAGACUCCCAGUAGGUUAUAGCAAAGGGUGGCUGGCUCAAGGAUCGUGUAACACCCCGUACCCGAGACCGUUGCUGGAGUCGGACACGAGGGGUUCACAGACUAAGUUCGCUUACUAUUGCAGUCCAUUUUAAAAUUUUUCCAGGCAGUCGGCUAACUGCGUCACUGUCAGCUUAAAAAUCAUAUCUUGUGUUUCACAACUCAAAAAUCAGUUUCGUGAUUUUUCACUGAAACUAGACUCAUAUUCCCAUCUAUAUAUUUUUUCUAGAAUUUUUGGUCGGGCCAAUUAAUACAGUUUAUUAGUCAAAGUCUCCCAUGUUACAGGGAUCGACUACACUGACCUUUGCGCAUUACGACUUGGAUAUCUCCCUGCACAGAGCUUCAAUACUGAUGACGUUUGUUUCUAUAGAAACUAGACUCAGAGAGGAAUCUAUACAUAUAUGGCAUGACUCCUAAUUAUCUCUGGUUAAUUUGUAAUGAAUUUCCAAAUUCGGAACAGGGAGUCCAGAACCCGUUCUGGCCCUGUCACACGAGAACCUGAAUAUCUCUUAACAUACUGUCCAUAUGAUCGUUUCGUUACUUUCCUAUGAAAAUAGAUUCAUUAAGGUUCGUUUACAUAAUUUAUUUAUUAUUUAAUUCCAAUCCUACUAUUUUUAGUGAUUUUCCAAAUCUACAUCACUGCUGCUGCCAGCAUCUGCCUUUAAGGUAGACUUUACCUACUUCAUAGUUUCCAUGAUUCAACUAGCCCUUUUAGCAUAAAUAGCACAAAUUAUGAUUGUGAUUAACCAUUCCAUACCAAAUGAUUAUAACAUUAUGCUCAAACAUAUAUAAGCCAUUUUCGCAUGGCUAUAUACAUUAACCAAAAUAUUCCUCCGCCACUAGUCUAUUUUAUACAUGCCAUAAGAUAAUCCAAAACAUAGCAGUACCAAACAGUGGAUAGUGAUAGUGUGACUAGUUGCUGACGAUCCCCGAGCCUGUAGCUUCGCAAUGAGAUCUAUAAAACAGAGGAAACAGAGUAAACGGAGUAAGCAUUACAAUGCUUAGUAAGUUUUAAGCAGUGUCAACAGAUAACAAUCAAAUUAUAACAUAGUUGUUCGUAUUUUUAUUUCACUCUUCCUUCGGGCAUACCAUCCCUUUACCGAAUACGCACAUCUCAUAGAUUGCUCUCGUAUGCAUCACAUAACUACCUUAUGAUUUAGUGCAAAUCAAGCUCACAUAUAAACUUGGAGUACAUACCUGUUUAACCUUUCGCAUUGAAUAUAUUUAUAAGCAAUUCUUAUUACGAAGUCUUACCCGGACAUAAUCUCCACACGAAGUUAUCGGGUCUUACCCGGACAAAAUCCCCACACGUAGUCAUCGGGUCUUUAGAGCUCGGAUAUAGUACGAGCACGAAGCUUACGGACAUUAAUCAGUGAUAAUAUUCUCGCAUAAAGCCUGCGGGGUUUUAACCCGGAUAUAGUACUGACACAAAUGCCCUUCGGGACUUAUCACAUUUAUACACUUUCACAUCCAUCACGUUGGCCACUCAGCCCUGUCACAUAUAUAUACUUUCACAUUCAUCACAUCGGCCAUUAGGCCUUAUCACAUAUAUACACUUUCACAUUCAUCACAUCGGCCAUUAGGCCCUAUCACAUAUAUAUACACUUUCACAUUCAUCACAUCGGCCAUUAGGCCCUAUCACAUAUAUAUACACUUUCACAUUCAUCACAUCGGCUAUUAGGCCUUAUCUCAUAUAUACACUUUCACAUUCAUCACAUCGGCCAUUAGGCCUUAUCACAUAUAUAUACACUUUCACAUUCAUCACAUCGGCCAUUAGGCCUUAUCACAUAUAUAUGCACUUUCACAUUCAUCACAUCGGCCAUUAGGCCUUAUCACAUAUAUAUACACUUUCACAUUCAUCACAUCGGCCAUUAGGCCUUAUCACAUAUAUACACUUUCAUGUUCAUCACAUCGGCCAUUAGGCCUUACUAUCAUUUCAUAUUCGAAUACUCAUAAACUUACAAUACCACGAUUUAUAAUUAAAGUAUGGGUUUAAUCAAUAGCUUAUGAGCAACUAAAACAAGUUUAUCAAGGUUCACAACAUAAUCUCAAAUUCAGGACAAGCUGUUUUUCCUGAGCAAUAGUCACUAAAUUAUUUAUAACUGGAGCUAAAAAACUCCAAAUCACUUUCCGUUAAUUUUUCCUGAAUAUAGACUCGUAUAUCUUCCAUCCAUAAAAUUUCCAAAAUUUUAGGUUUGGCCAAUCAAUACCAGAUUUUUCUUAAAGUUUCACCUGUUUCACUGUUUGACUAAUCUGACCACUCUUCACUACGAAUCAAAUUUCUCAUUUUACAGAAUUCAAAAUGUGUUGUAUUUGAUUUCAUUUGAAACUAGACUCAUUAAGGAGUCCAAGUAUAUAAAUUUUAUCUUAUAACCAUUUUUGUACAAUUUUAUCUUAUAACCUUUUGAAGUAGCUUCGUCAUUGGUGUGGCUAUCAUCGAGAAACCUUUUACAAAUCGUCGGUAAUAACCGGCGAGCCCCAGGAAGCUCCGAACUUUGGUAAUAUUUCUUGGAGGCUUCCAGUUAAGUAUGGCUAAAAUUUUGCUCGGGUCAACUCGAAUACCCGAUGCGGAUACCACAUGACCCAAGAAGCUAACCUCUCUUAACCAGAACUCACACUUACUGAACUUAGCAUAUAACUGCUUAUCCCGCAAAAUUUGCAACACUAGUCUCAGGUGCUCAACAUGUUCGGUCUCAUCUCUUGAAUAGACCAAGAUGUCAUCAAUGAACACAACUACGAACCGAUCCAAAUAUGGUCUGAAGAUCCGAUUCAUCAAAUCCAUAAAUACCGCAGGGGCAUUAGUGAGCCCAAACGGCAUCACUAAGAAUUCGUAGUGACCAUAUCUCGUUCUGAAGGCAGUUUUGGGUAUGUCUGAAUCUCGAAUUCGCAACUGAUAAUAGCCCGAUCUCAAAUCUAUUUUUGAGAACACUGAGGCUCCCUUUAGUUGGUCGAACAAAUCAUCGAUACGCGGUAACGGAUAUUUGUUCUUUAUCGUCACUUUAUUCAGUUGACGGUAGUCAAUGCACAACCUCAUGGUUCCGUCCUUCUUUUUCACGAACAAUACUGGUGCACCCCAAGGUGAGAAACUUGGUCGAGCAAAACCUCUAUCCGUCAAUUCUUGCAACUGAGCUUUCAACUCUUUUAACUCAGUUGGUUCCAUACGAUACGGAGCCAUCGAAAUCGGCGUAGUCCCAGGUACAAGCUCAAUACCAAACUCUAUCUCCCGAACAGGUGGUAAACCCGGUAAUUCUUCAGGAAAAACAUCCGGGUAUUCACAAACCACCGGCACAGAUUCGGGUUUCUUUUCUAAUUCUUUGUCAUCAAGUACAUACGCAAGGUAUGCUUCGCACCCUUUUCUUACAUAUUUCUGGGCCAACAUUGAGGAUAUUACAGCUGGCAACCCAUCCACGUCCGUAGACUCAACUCGGAUUACUUCGUUAUUUGCGCACCUCAAUUCAAUAGUCUUGCUUUUGCAAUUCACAACCGCAUCAUGCACGGUCAACCAAUCCAACCCGAGAAUAACGUCAAAUUCAUCAAAUGGCAAAAGCAUCAAGUCCGCCGGAAAACAGGAACCUCGAAUUACUAGGGGACAUUCCUUACACACUUUGUCGACAAGCACGUAACGACCCAAGGGAUUUGACACGUGAAUUACGAACUCAGUAGACUCAAUAGGUAAAGUCUUACUGGAUGCUAAGGUUUCACAUAUGUAAGAAUGAGUAGAACCGGGGUCAAUCAAAGCAAUUACAUUAGUAUCAAAGAGAAUAAAAGUACCGGUAAUAACAUCAGGCGAAGAAACAUCCUCGCGGGCACGUAUAGCAUAAGCUCUAGCAGGCGCACGAGCCUCGGAUCUGGUCGUAGCAUCUCUAGAUCCUCUCUAACCACCACUAGCAUUGCCCGUAUUUCCAGAUGGUCUACCUCGAGCAGUGGUAGCACCCGGUUUCCCACUCUGAUUUACAUUCUGUUCAGACAACCUCGGGCAAUCUUUAAUGAAGUGGUCAACUGAUCCGCACUUGCAACAGGAGCGGUCAGGGAAUCUACAACUCCCCGAAUGCCAUUUACCGCAAUAUCGACAUUUCGUUCUGUCUCGACGUUCAUUCCCAACACUGGCGACCGAAGUGCCUCGUGUACCCACAGGGGAUCGAUCACGAUCUCGUCUAAAAAGGCCCGAAGUGCCUCUCGACCAGCCCACAUCAUCUCGAAAUUUCUUCGAUGCCUGUUGAAGAGACUUUCCCGAAGAUCUUUUAUGAAACUCUCCAGUUCCCACAUCAACUUUUUGUUUUUCUUUUCUAAGCUCUUCGGCUUUACAAGCUCGCUCGACAAGUACUACGAACUCUCGUAUUUCAAGAAUGCCAACGAACAUUUUUAUAUAUUCAUUCAGCCCAUCCUCGAAGCGUCUACACAUGAUAGCCUCGGACGAAACACAUUCCCGAGCGUAUCUACUAAGUCUAACAAAUUUUCGCUCGUAAUCAGUAACCGACAUGGAACCUUGCUUAAGCUCAAGAAAUUCCUUCCGUUUUUGAUCAACAAAUCUCUGACUGAUAUACUUUUUCCGAAACUCAGUUUGGAAAAACUCCCAAGUUACUUGCUCUCGGGGCACAACAGAAGUCAGAGUACUCCACCAAUAGUAGGUAGAAUCACGUAGCAAGGAGAUAGUACACUUUAGGCAUUCAUCGGGUGUACAAGAUAGCUCAUCGAGUACCCGGAUAGUGUUGUCCAACCAAAAUUCAGCUUGUUCGGCAUCGUCGCUAUCCGUAGCUUUAAAUUCGGUAGCCCCAUGUUUUCGGAUUCUAUCAACUGGGGGCUUAUUUGACCUUAUUUGGUCAGUUACCGGAGGUAUUGUAGGUGCGGGGGUUGUAUUAGUCGGGAAGGGAGGUUGUGGAACAGCCGUAUUAGUUCGAAUGUAUUGGUUGAACCAAUCAUUCAUCACGCUAUAGAAAGCUUGUCUAGCUUCAUCAUUCGGGUUACUAGCAUUAGGUUGAGAGUUCACCGGCGCUGUCCCUUGUGCGGGAGCAGGCGGUACACUAUCAAGAUCAUCAGCUACCGCUCGGUCGGGAUCGGGAUCCAUUACUAUAAAUAAACACAUUUGCAAAUGUAAGAAAUCACCACACUAUCAAAUAAUCACAUAAAAUGGCAUGUAUAGCUAGACCCAACGCAUUACGGUAGUCCUAGAAUCGAAUAAACCGUAGCUCUGAUACCAAUCAAAUGUAACACCCCGAACCCGAGACCGUCACCGGAGUCGAACACAAGGUGUUAACAAACUUUAAAAAUUUUCCAGACACUGGCAAUCUGCAUAAUAGUCGUUUUAAAAAUCAUAUCUUGAGUUUAGAAACUCGGAAUCCAGUUCCGUAAAUUUUCCCUGAAACUAGACUCAUAUACCCAUCUACAUAUAUUUUUCUAGAAUUUUUGGUUGGGCCAAUUAGUAUAGUUUAUUAGUCAAAGUAUCCCAUGUUACAGGGAUCGACUACCCUGACCUUUGCGUAUUACGACUUGGAUAUCUCCCUGUACAGGGCUUCAAUACUGAUGCCGUUUGUUUCUAUAGAAACUAGACUCAGAGAGGAAUCUAUACAUAUAGUGCUUGACUCCUAAUUGUCUCUGGUUAAUUUAUAAUGAAUUUCCAAAUUCGGAACGGGAUAUCCCGAAACCGUUCUGGCCCUGUCUCACAAGAACCUGAAUAUCUCUUAACAUACUGUCCGUAUGAUUGUUUCGUUACUUUCCUAUGAAAAUAGAUUCAUCAAGGUUCGUUUACAUAAUUUAUUCACUAUUUAAUUCCAUUCCUACUAUUUUUAGUGAUUUUCCAAAUCUACAUCACUGCUGCUGUCAGCAUCUGCCUUUAAGGUAGACUUUACCUAUUUCAUGGUUUCCAUGAUUCAACUAGCCCUUUUUGCAUAAAUAGCACAAUUUAUGAUAGUGAUUAACCAUUCCCAUGGCCAAUCCUUGUCAAGCAUAUCCACACCAAAUGAUUAUAACAUUAUACUCAAACACAUAUAAGCCAUUUUCGCAUGGCUAUCCAAAAUUAUACAAGUCCAAAGGGUCCAUGACCCACAACAAACGGGUAGUCCUAUACAUGCCAUUUCGAAGUUCAACCGAAAUUGUACCAAAAAGGGGGGGGAUUUGAUAGUGUGGGCGACUUCGACUUCAAAAUCCCGAGUCCGAUAGCUGGAGAACCAAAAUCUAUAAAACAGAGGAUCAAAGAAACGGAGUAAGCAAUUUAUGCUUAGUAAGUUUUGAGCAAGGAAUUCCAGCACAACAAAAGUAUAGCAUUCAUGUAGCUAAACGGAUAAUUUCAUAUGCACAAUUUUUCAAUAUCAUACUUGCUUCACAUUACCAACCCUUAUGUACAUACACAAAAGAUCAACUUAGCCAAAGGCCGGUAGCUCAUUUAUCAACUGAGCGAAUACUUAUUUGUAAGGGCUCAACUAAAUUCAAGCACAUACGAAACAUACCUCAAUGUUGGGAUGUUUCUAGAGUAUUUACUGAAAUUUUUACAGCAAGAUCAUUCAUUCCCAAAUCACGUACCUUCGGAAUUUAACCGGAUAUAGCUACUCGUUCAAAUGCCUUCGGGACAUAGCCCGGUUAUAGUAACUCGCACAAUUGCCUUCGGGACUUAACCAGGAUUUAGUAACUCGCACAAAUGCCUUCGGGCUUAGCCCGGAAUUAGUAUCUCGCACAAAUGCCUUCGGAUCUUAGUCUGGAUAUGGUCACUUAGCACAAAGCCUUCCGGACUUAGCCCGGACAUCAUUCAAAUAACCAUGCACAUUUAACAGUAAAUCAUGGCACAUUCGUAUUUCAUUUUCGUUAACAAAACUCAAACACAAGACACUUAUCAUUCUUGCAAUUUUGGCUCAAUAGCCACACGCAAAGAGCAUGAUUUUAAUUUGCUUAAAACAUGCUCUAAUCAAAUCAUAAUUUAAGCUCUUUUACUCAAGAACUUACCUCGGAUGUUGUCGAAUGAUUCCGAUAGCUAUUCGACCACUUUUUCCUUCCCUUUAUCGGAUUUAGACCCCCUUUGCUCUUGAGCUUAAUUAGACAAAUAAAUUGAUUUAAUCAUUUGAGCAUCGAAAAGAGGAACACAAGGCACUUAGCCCAUAUUUAUACAUUAGACAUUAAAGUCACAUACAUGUGAAAUCAUGCAUCAACUCAACAUAUUAUCCCACACUCCUUUUAGCCGAUUGUCUAAGCCAAGAUAUAAGCAUUAAUAUGCUUGCCUCUAACCGAAUACAUGCAACGCCAAUCCAUCUCAUGUGGCCGAAUAUGCAUGUCUACGUUGAGGCCAAUUAUAUACUUAGUACCACAUAUAAAUGACAUACAUUUUACUAACUAAUGCAUUACAUAUUACAACUCAAUAUGCAUCCAUCAUUCACUCCAUAACUAAACCAUCACCAUAUAUAAACAUAUACCUUGGGAUGACAUAUAUAUGUAUCAUACCAAUACACCAUGUGCAAAUAUAUAUAUGCAAAAGCUGAAUCACAAGGCUGAUUAUAGCCAUCUCAUAUUUUUUUUUUCAUCCCAUACCCGAAUGCACAAGUACAUUAUAAUAGCUUCCAACUUAAUUCAUCAUAAAUUUCCCCUUUUUUUUUUUUCAUGGCCGAAUGCUCCUUCUGCACCAUUUACCUUCACAAAGCAUGAAUUUCAUCAUCCAACUUACAAGCUUACAAUCUCAUGAAGUUUAACCUCAUAGUACCUAUCAAACUCUCACUCAUUAGCUUCUAUCAUAAACCUCCAACAACACCAACUAAACAUAUACUUCGUGGGUCUAUGGUAGAGCCAAGAAAGGAACUCAUAGAUAUCAAGAUGUAAGCAACUACCAUUAUUAAUCUAAGUUUUGCAUGAAACACAAUCAUCACCCUUAUUAAUAUUUUAUAGCCGAAAACCAUACUCACCUCCAAAAUCAAAAUUUUAACAUGGUUUACAAAAAUCACUUGAUAACUCACUCAAUAUCAACUAAAAUUUCAAAAGCUAGUACAACUUCCUUACCUUCAUAGUGACCUAAGAUUACCGAUUGCUUCACUCCCUUCUUCUUCCUUUCAAUUCGGCCAAGAAGAACCAAAGAACACAACUUGUUUUUUUUUUUCUUUCUUCCUUAGAACAUUCGGCCAAGAGAAAUGAAGAAAGAUGGACACUUUUUUUUUGUUUUCUUUCUUACAUUCACGGCAAUGGAGAGGGGAAGAACAAUCAUACACAUUCUUUCCUUUUUUUCCAUUUCUUUAUUACCCAUACUCCUUAUUUUAUUGUUCCUAACAUACAUCACUAACAUAACAUGUUUGUGACAUGUUUCCACUCAUAGCAUGGCCGGCCACUAGCUCAAAUAUUGGGCAAUUUGACAUGCAAACCCACCAUUUCUAUAACAUGCAUUAAUAAGCCACUUUACAUUUGCCUAGCACAUUUCUAAAUUCUUUCACAUAAGUCCCAUUUACUAAAAUUCACCUACAAUUAAACAAAAUUCAAAUAUGAAAUUAUCACACAUGCAUAUAUACAUACAAUAAGUAUCAAAUAUGACAGCUAAUUAUUUUUAUGACUCGGUUUAGCGGUCCCGAAACCACUUCCCGACUAGGGUCAAUUUUGGGCUGUCACAAUACCUGUAUUUGCUCAUAUUGAACAUUUAUUGUUUCCUUUCCAAUUCAUGCCUGUUGAACCGAAUAGAAUAUCGUUGGAUAUCUAGGAUAGCUCACACAAAGUGUGCUAACUCAUAUAAUCGUAAUUCGUCAAUUCAUGUACAUAUUGCUCACAAGAGCUGUGAAUAAGUAUGCUCAUACGAGCUAUGAAAAUGGGUCUGCUCACACGAGCUGUGGGUCGGAACAUAGCUAUACAAUGCUGCUCAGACAAGCUAUGGAGUAUCUACAACACAUGUCAAACCUCAUGUCGUAUUACAGGCCGUGUAGACAUUAGAAAUGGGAGCACAUGGUUGUGUCCCAGCCCAUGUCCAACCCCGUGUAACUCUCUGACUUGGGUCACACGGCCAACACACACGCCCGUAUGACUAGCCCAUAUGCCCUAAAAAUGGCCACACACCCCCGUGUGCCAGGCUGUGUGCUAGGCUGUGCCAAACCUAUAGGGUAUACUGACUUAUGCCAAACGCCCAAGUCACACGCCCGUGUGUGAGGCCGUGUGGAGCAUAUUGACUUGUUUUCAAAUUCAACACCAGGGGACACACAGCCGUGUACUUGACCGUGUGUCACACACGAUCGAGACACACGCCCAUGUCUCUGCCCGGUGGACAAAAAUAGGCUAUUUACCAAGCCAAUUUGCCACCCAAAUAUUCAUAUACCUACACAACCAAAAUGGCACCAAAUCAAAGCAUAAUUGAACAUCUCAUUUGGCUAUAAUCAAGUCUAAUUCAUACAAUUUCCAAUACUAACAACCAACAUGCUUAUAAACUCAUGUUUUACUCAUUCAAAACAUACCAAAUACCAAUUACUUCAACAUCAAUAUAACUAAACUCAAAUAUGCAUUAUUUGGUCUAAUUUCAAUAACAUACCAAUUCAAAAAUCAUCACCUAUUGAUAUUCAGUUUACCUAUUCACAACAAGCAUUGUAACACCCCUUACCCGUAUUCGACACCGGAACAGGGUACGAGGCAUUACCGGACUUAUACACAAGCAAUCGUACACUUUCGAGCCAUGGAUUUUCGUCCAAAUUAAAACUUUUUACAAAUAAUCAUAUCGUCCCAAAGACGAGCCUAUGAGGCCUAAAACAAUCUGUGGAAGCGGUUCGGGACAAACUGAGAAGUUUAGAAAAUUUUACGACACUUAGAGAAUUUUUGCUAUAACAGGGGUCACACACCUGUGUGGCUUGGGACACGCCCGUGUGAGCAGGCCGCGUGGUCACACACGCCCGUGUCCCUAACCCAUGUAACUUUCUAUUUGUCACCCAAGAGCAAAUUGAAGUCACACGGCCAAGACACACACCCGUAUCCCGAGGCUGUGUCCUUUACACAACUGAGACACACGCCUGUGUCUCUGCUCGUGUGCUCGAUACUGAGCAUUCUGUUUUGCAACAAUUUAGGUAUAGGGGACACAUGGCCAGAUCACAUGCCCAUGGGGCUGACCAUGUGUCACAAAUGGCCUAGACACACACCUGUGUGGACAAAAAUAAGGCUAUUUACCAAGCCAUUUGCAACCAUUAUUUUCACAAACAGUUAUACCAAUUCAAUAUCACAAAACAUAAUAUAUUUAGGCAACCAAAAACAUACACAACAAUGUCCAACAAAUGGCCAAUUAAUAUCAACAUGUAUCAUAUUCAUAACAUUUAUUAUGCCCUAACUCAAUCAUGCCAGUUUCACAUUUAUUAAGCUUCAUUUAUUUCCUUUCAAGAUACCUAAUUGUACACAAAUCUAUCAUCUCAUCCAUGAAUCACAUUGCUAAACAUUUCACAAUCAUACUAUAAAUCACAUUCCAUCAUUCAACUUCACAAUCAUACUAUAAAUCACAUUCCAUCAUUCAACAAGCAUACCAUGACCAUAUCACCAAAGACGUAGGCACAUAUAUGGAUAUACUUAGGCUUACAACCAUGUUAGCCAAAAUAAACCAAUUUACAUCGCCAAAUAUCAAAGCAAACCCUUGACAAUUACAAGCCAAUACUUUUGGCCAAAACAUAAUGACACAUAUAACAAAAUGAUCAAGUCCCUAUACAUGCCAUAAGCUCAAAAUACUUGAAUUCAUCAAUAUCCAAAUGAUAGCUUGAUAGUGUGAUAGGAUCUCCGGCGAUCUCCAAUCUGAGCUAGCUUGACGGCACUAUAAAACAUAGGAAAGAAAGGGAGGUAAGCUAUAUAGCUUAGUAAGUUUGCAUGUAAAUAAUAAGCAACUCUUACCAAUUAUUUACCAAGUUUAACAAUAUAAACACAAGGUAAUAUAAAUUGUUAUAGUCCUUACAAUUAUAAUUUAUUCAAUCACAUAGUCUGCUCUAUCAAAUUGCAAACAUAGUUUAAAAUAUUUUGACAUUAGCCUAAUAGCAAUAAUCUCUCCAUUAACACAUAUAUCCAUAAUCAACCAAUCAUUUUGAGCCUUAUAAUAACCAUGCACAUUACUCAUUAGUAUUUAUCUCUCAAGCAUAUAUUUAAUAUCUUUCACAUGUUUAAAACUUAUAUCUCCUCACUUCUAUAAUCGUUUUAAUAGGCAUUUAUGCCAAUCUUUUCUUUUUUCUCAUAUCCAAUAAAUCACAUUUUGUGCUAAUAAAACUUACCAUAUCAUAAAUCAAUUUUGGCCCGAAAGCCAAUUACACAUUUGCCAAUCCAAUUUACCUUGUAUUUCGUACAUCACAAGUAUAUACCAAUAAUUACAAGGCUUUUACAAAAACAUUCUUAUGAAAACCAUGAACUCACCAUAUUAUGAAAUGAAUACUUAUAAACUUAUGUACAUACCUGUACAAAUUCGUAACAUAGUCACAUACUUUGUCAUCUUUGACAUAAUCUUUAGAUUACCCUUGGAAUACUAUUGGAUACACGAAAAGUCUCGCACAUAAGUGUCACAUAUGUAGCCAAUGCUACCUUAUAUCUCAUAACACAUAGUCCUCGUAGACGAGCUAAUCACUGGCCUAUUCACACAAGCUGCCAGUCAAGACGUAGCUACACAGGCUGCUCCCACAAGCUGUCAGGCAUUCGCAACAUAUGCCGGACAACCCACCCACCGGUAGGAUGUACAUGACCAGCACCCGGAUUCUCAUAUCACAUAACACAUGACUUCCUAGUGACAUGUCACUUGUAUCCUAAACUAUUCCUAAGGUCCAACUGGGAUUUUCUCAUCAUCGAAAAUUCGUUGAAUAUUUCCAUAGAAACAAUCAUACAAUUUAUGCGAUAUUAAACAUUAAAUACAUAAUACAACAUUGCAUUAUUUACACACAAACUUACCUCGACAUAAAAAUUGUAACACUCCAAACCCAGCCCAGACGUUAUUGCCAGAUCUGACGUGUCACAUGGACUUACGACUUAGUAUGCAUUCAUUGGUUUAAAUGAUUGGGGUGGUCUUUGUAAAAACAACGGUUGAAUGAAAAGCCGGUUUAUCAAUCUUUAGGCUAUCCAUUUGUUGUGCUUGUUGAGUCUUGAAAAUGUUCAUUAAUUUUGAAAACCCGCGCAGCCUAACAUUUACAGUUUCGUCAUAGUAUAAAUAUAAUUAGAAAAUAAAACCAUAGCGGAAAAUAGAAAUUUAAAUAAUAGCCUUAUUACAACUUAAAACCCAAAAUUAAAUCAGAAUAUAAAAAUAAUAAAAAUAAACUAACCUAGAAAAACCAACUUUGUAGAUGAUGUGGCCACUCCGAAUCCCUCACAGCUCCAAGCCCACUAUGGUUGGGGAUUUCCUGCAGAGAUGAAAAUAAGGGGUGAGUUCGAUAAACUUAGUGUGUAACAUAACCCAACCAUAGCCCAAAACAGAUCAAACCUCAGAGUCAGACUUAUCUAGGCCUUGGCCCAGUACAGAAAUCAGAAUGAAACCCAAAUGCCCAUAGAAGAUACAGAACAAAUAUAUCAUGAAUGCAGAAAUCCCAACCCAGAGCCAUCCAUAACACCCCCGUACCAGCCUUACACCUUGUGGGGAGACUACUCGAGCCAUCCAACCGCUACCCACCACCGAAAUUGCAGCGAGGCUGCCAGAUAUUGUGACGAAGUCACCAGAUAUAGAUAUUGUGGCUAGGCCACCAGAACAGAUAUAUAUAUAUGUGGCGAAGCCACCAGAUUGCAGCGAGGCUACCAGAUAUUGUGACGAAGUCACCAGAACAGAUAUAUGUGGCGAGGCCACUAGAUUGCAGCGAGGCUGCCAGAACGCUUCCUCCAUCAAUAUAAACCCAUGUCCCAUGCAACAUAAAUAAUAUUUCAUGGCAUACGUAUACAGAAACAGAACAUCAUGCUAUUCAAAAAAGAAAUAACCCUAGGGGUAAAAUCGUAACUUUGCAUGCUUAAGGGUAUUUCAGUAAUUAUUACCUAUUGCUAAGGUUUCAUGCUCAUUCUAACGUUUACUAAGUAAUCAAAAGUAUUUACCUAGUCUUUUUACCAAAGUGGGCCCGUUGGCCCAUUUGCCCAUUUUUGGCCCAUUAAGCCCAAAAAUACCGUUGUACACGAAAAUGCACACUCUGCACUCUAAUCAUCCAAAUGCACCAUAUUCAUUAACAACUGUCUCACGAGCGCUCACACGCUCGCGAGUUCACAAAAUACCGAUGUUUUAGUAUUUCGACUUUUACCAAUUCAGUCUAAAAGAGGGUGUCGUUUACACACUUGGUUGAUGACGAUUGAUGACGAUAUCUCCCACGAGAUAAUCCUACAAUCGAUCACUAACACAUUAGACUUACGAAUUAGCGAUAACUAACAUAAAUCCAGGUCAACUAACCCAAUCAUCACACAAGUUAGUCAUUUACGCACGAGGGGCAAAAUAGCCAUUUAACACCCUAGGGGCAAAAUGGUAAUUUUACCCCACCAGGGUAUCUCGAUAAUUCUACCCUACAGGGGUAUUUCGGUAUUUCUACCCAACAAGGGUAUUUUGGUAAUUCUAUCCUACAGGGGUAUUUUCAUAAUUCUACCUUACAGGGGUAUUUCGGUAAUUCUACAACUUAUCCACUUGGGCCUACAGACCUAUUGGGACCACAUGGCCAAUUUCAGCCCAUCGCGGCCCAAAAUAGCCGUCCUACUGCUAGAGUAAUGAGAAAUACACACCUGUUGGGAGACUGCAGUUAAUCCGAGCUCCAAACACUCUUAGCUGACGCCCAACCCAAACGAACACGUCACAAAGCGAAAGGGAUUAGCCAAGAAGGGUAUGCCUACUCUCCUCAUGGUUUGAUCUAUUUAAAGCCAGCUCUCCAUCUACUCUUAUGUUAGCUUCCCGAUGUGGGAUCCCUCCAUCACCAAAGUUUAAAACCAACACCACUCUUGCCGUCCCAACAUAGUAAAAUAAUCAACCUUUGCGUGCCAAGGGAUUCGAACCAAAGUCCUUCACAUGCCAACUCACGCCACACCACUAGGCCAUCAACUCAUUUGUAUCAUAAAUCCAACACAUUAAACUUUAAAGCGCACCUACUUGCUUCCAGAUUUAUUGAAAAGAAAAACCAAAAUAUAUUGCAGGAGCCAGGACUUGAACCUUGGACCCCUUGCUUCCUCUAUGGCGUCACUUCCUUGUCCCCUAAGUGGCGCUACCUUGCCACAACACCAUACACCUUUUUGUGUCAUCUUUUAUCCCUUUACUCUUAAAAGCCCAAACGCCAAUUGCAUCAACUAUUCAUAAAAUUAAAAUUUCGAAGACUACCACGGAUUUAACUUAAGUUUGGGCCUUCCAAAGGCCCACUAACCUACUCAAAUAUAUAUUUUAACUAACCAGAACACAUACAAAUUUUAAAAAUCACAGAAACACAGAAAACCCAAAAAUUGGGGCGUUACAACUCUACCCUCCUUAAAGAAUUUCAUCCUCAAAAUUUUACCUGAAUCAAACAGAUGAGGAUAUUGUUGACGCAUCGCCACUUCUGGCUCCCAAGUAGCUUCCUCUCUGCCCAGAUUACGCCACAGCACCUUUACUAGUGGAACUGAUUUCCUCCUCAAAAUCUUAACAUCUCGAUCCAAAAUCUUCACAGGUUCUUCCUCAAAAGUCAAGUCUGUUUGGACCUCUAUCUCUGCAACCGGCACAACAUGAGUAGGGUCAGAAUGAUACCGCCUUAACAUGGAGACGUGAAAGACAUCAUGAAUCUUAUUCAACUCUGGAGGUAGCUCUAACUGAUAACCCACUGGACCCACUCGCUUAAUAAUCGGAUAAGGCCCAAUGAACCGUGGACUUAACUUGCCUUUCCUCCCAAACCUUAAUAUUUUCUUCCAAGGCAAAACCUUCAAGAAGACCAUAUCACCCACAGAGUAUUCAAUUUCCUUGCGCUUCAAAUCUGCAUAAGACUUUUGUCUAUCAGAUGCUUCCUUCAACUGGUCUUUAAUCAACUUGACCUUAUCCUCAGUAUCUGCCACCAACUCAGGUCCAAGAACCUGUCAUUCACCCAACUCGGUCUAACAACUAGGUGUACGACAUCUUCGCCCAUACAGUGCCUCAUAAGGAGCCAUUCGAAUACUUGCUUGAUAAUUGUUGUUGUAUGCAAACUCUGCCAACAGUAAGUAAUCCUCCCAACUGCCUCGAAAGUCGAUAACGCAUCCCCUCAACAUGUCUUCCAGAAUCUGAAUAACCCUUUCUGACUGACCAUCAGUCUGAGGAUGAAAGGCUGUACUAAAGUUCAACCACGUACCCAACGCCUCAUGCAACUUCUGCCAAAACUGAGAUGCGAAUCUAGGAUCUCGAUCAGAAAUAAUCGACACUGGCACUCCGUAAAGUCGUACUAUUUCUGCCACAUACAAUUUGGCUAACUUCUGAAGUGAAUAAUCAGUGCGGACAGGUAUGAAAUGAGCAGAUUUGGUCAACCUAUCCACAAUUACCCAAAUCGAGUCCUUCUUCGAUGGUGUCAAUGGUAACCCACUCACAAAAUCCAUGGUUACCCUCUCCCACUUCCAAAGUGAUACUUUCACUGACUACAAAAGUCCGAAAGGUAAUUGAUGUUCAACUUUCACUUGCUAACAAGUCAGGCAUUUUCCCACAACUUCUGUUACAUCUCGCUUCAAUCCAGGCCACCAAUACAACUCCUUUAAGUCGAGAUACAUUUUACUCCCUUCAGGAUGCAUAGCACACAGAUCUCCACGAGCUUCUUUCAGAAUUGCUUGCCUUAAGUCAGAGUCCUUCGGAAUACAAACUCUACCUCGGUAACAUAGAACUCCCUCACUGUUCAGUCCAAACUCAGAAGUUUCCCCAUUCUUAACCUGCCAGAAUCGAGAAACCAGGGACUCAUCCCUCGACUGUUUUUCCUUAAUCUUAUCUACCCAGGUCGGCCUAACUUGCAGUUCUGCUAACAGACUACUGUCAUCAUACAGACUCAAACAAGCAAACAUGGCUCUCAGAUCAGAUACAGUUCUACGACUUAGGGCAUCAGCCACCACAUUAGCUUUGCCUAGGUGAUACUCAAUCCCGCAUUCAUAAUCCUUAAGCAACUCUAUCUAUCUCCGCUGCCUAAGGUUUAGCUCCUUCUAAGUCAUCAAGUACUUAAGACUCUUAUGAUCUGUGUAUAUAAUACACCUUUCUCCGUACAGGUAAUGUCUCUAAAUCUAAAGUGCAAAGAUUAGCGCUGCCAACUCCAGAUCAUGAGUAGGAUAGUUAACUUCAUGUGGUUUAAGCUGUCGCGAUGCAUAAGCAACCACUUUACCCUCUUGCAUCAGCACAUAGCCCAACCCUACAUGUGAUGCAUCACUGCAUACGGUAAAAUCUUUUCUAUACUCCGACUGUAUCAGUACAGGUGCCUUGGUCUGAACAUUCUCCAACUUCUCAAAAGAUUCCUAUUGUUUCUCAGUCCAAACAAACGAUACUCCCUUCCUUAUAAGCUUUGUCAAAGGUGCUGCCAUCAUAGAAAAUCCUUCCACAAACCUUCUAUAGUACCCAGCUAAACCCAAAAAACCUCAAAUUUUUGACACUGACUUCGGUGGCUUCCAUUCCAGAAUCGCUUCAAUCUUUUGAGGGUCCACCUUGGUCCUUUCAGCAGAGACAACAUACCCCAUGAAAGUUACCUCUCUCAACCAGAACUCACAGUUACUGAAUUUUGCAUAAAGCUCCUUCUCCCUCAGCACUUGCAGCACAAUACGAAAAUGCUCAUCAUGCUUCUCUUCAGUUUCAGAAUAAACCAGAAUAUCAUCAAUAAAGACGACCACGAAUCGAUCCAAGUAUGGCUGGAACACUCGAUUCAUCAGUUCCAUAAAUGCCGCAGGUGUUUUCGUCAACCCAAAUGGCAUAACCAAGAACUCAUAGUGACCAUACCGAGUUCUGAAUGCCAUCUUGUGAAUAUCCACCUCUUUAACCCUCAACUGAUGAUACCCAGAUCGAAGGUCAAUCUUGGAAAAUACCGAAGCUCCACUAAGUUGGUCGAAUAAAUCAUCGAUUCUCGGUAGUGGGUACUUGUUCUUAAUCGUCAUUUUGUUCAACUGCCGAUAAUCGAUGCACAUCCGCAUUGACCCAUCUUUCUUCUUUACGAACAACACUGGUGCUCCCCACAGAGACACACUUGGUCUAAUGAAGCCUCUAUCCAAUAACUCUUGAAUUUGGGCUUUCAGCUCCACCAACUCCUUAGUUCCAUCCUAUAAGGUGCAAUGGACACAGGUGCCGUUCCAGGCAACAAGUCAAUUCCUAACUCAACCUCUCGGUUUGGCGGCAAACCCGGAAGCUCCUCUGGAAAAACAUCUUGAAAAUCCUUGACGGUUCUAACUUUAUCCACUGUCAGAUCCUCAGUUUUCGAUUGGCUUCCAAAUCCUAAAUAAGCCUCACAUCCCUUUCGAAUCCACUUUUCGGCUUUCAAUGUUGACACCACAUUAGAUAGAUAUUCCCUACGCUCACCUGUCACGUAAACCUCCUCAUCCUUUGUGGUCUUUAACAUCAUUCGUUUAGCAGCACAAUCCAGAGUAGCCCUAUGCUUAACAAGCCAAUCCAUUCAAAAAACAAGAUCGAAUUCUCCGCUCCAUCAGAUCUCCAGAGAAAACUUUUCCUUGAGUUUCUAUAGGCACAUCUCUAUACAGUUUAUCUACCCUAACCGAGUGACCGAAAGGACUUAGUACCAAUACCCCACUCACGAUCUCCUCAGAGCACACACCCAGCGACCCAGGUAUAGGACAUGCUACAUAUGAAUGGGUUGAUCCAACAUCUAUCAACGCAGUGUAUGGUAUACUGGAAAUCAGAAACGUCCCAGUUAUGACGUCAAGUGCAUCACCCUCGUCUUGGCGAAAAGCUGCAUACACCAACGCCAGCUAAUGAGCCUCAACAAAUCCUGCACCCUUACCAGGCGCUCCUCUUCCUCGAUCAUUUCCAUUACCACCUCUGCCUUGCUCACGGCCUCUCGGAAACUGUGGUCCACCCCUCACUGGUUGAGCGACCGUCUGCUCUAAAAUUUGAACCUGAUCUGGUUCCUGGGGAUAAUCCUUAACCCUAUGCUCCAUAUAUCCGCAUCAGAAACAAGCACCAGAACAUUUCCGACUCUCGCCCAUAUGCAUCUUCCCACAAUUCCUACAACCCUGCGGCCUAAAAGCAUUCAUCGGUACUGCUCGAACUGGAUCCAUUACCUUUCCUCUCUUAACAUUCCUCUUCAUACCACCUGAAAGUUCUGAAUCUCUCCUAAAAAGGUUCCGAUCUUUCUCACGAUUCUGUCUUUCUGUAUGCUUCACUUCCUUAGCUACCUUAACUUUCUCCACUAAAGCAAUGAAGUUACGCUCCCUCUGCAGAGCAAUCAGCACCUUAAGUUCAUUUAUCAGACCAUCCUUGAAGCGUACGCUACGCUCAUACUCUAUAGCGACAAUCCUAGAAGCAUACUGGCUCAGUCCCAGAAACUCAGACUCAUACUCAGCCACUGACUUACUCCCUUGGACCAGGUUCAGAAAUUAUUUCCGGCGAGCGUCCACGUAACUAGCCCCAACAUACUUUUCUUUGAAGGCUGUCUUAAAUAGCUCCCAAGUUACACUGUCAGCAGGAGUUCCAUCUCUCACCGUGAGCCACCACUGAUAAGCCUCAUCCUUGAGUAACGAUAUGGCUCCCUUCAGCUUCUGCUCCACAGAGCAAUCCAGAUCAUCCAUAAUCCACUCUGUGGCUUCUAACCAAUACUCAGCCACAUUCGGAGCUACACCAGAUACGCCCCUAAAUAUCUCUACUCCUUUGGCCCGGAUUCGCUCAGAAAUAGACCCCCGAAUUUUGUUUCUCGUACUUGCCCCAGUAACCCUUUCCAAAACUCGGAGCAUUGCCUGUGAUAGAGCAUCAUCCCCGGCACCUCGAUCAUGAGACUCUACCUUCGUUGCCGGUGUUACUGGUGCAUCUGCUGCCGGCACAUGUCUUGAAGAUGAAGAUUCAACCUGAGCAUUACCUCAGCCACGUCCACGCCCUCUUCCACGAGCUGCUCGUGUACUCAUUUCGUAUUAUCUGAUUAAGAAUUUUAUGAAUCAGUUUAAUAUUUCAGUGUUUAUUACAGAUGUCUUAUGAAUAACAUUAAUUUAGAGUUUGAGUUUGUUUCCUUUUGCGGUAGCCUAGCUACAGUUUCAGUCUACUUAUCAGAGUUUCUAUAGUUCCAGUGUUACCCUAACUAAAGUACCAUGAUAAGGUUUUGUACAAGCAUAUAACAGAUAUUUCAGAAACAAUCAGAAAGGCUCAGAAAACUUACAGACUUGGGCCAGAGAUUUGGUGUGCCACCUUCUAAAAAACCUAAUUUUAGAAAACCGAUUAUAAUCUUUAAAAUCAUCUAUUUGUAAAGAGAAAAUAUUGGAAACAUUCUCGAAAACAAUUUAUAAUCAAGUUUCACAAAAAUGAUUUUCGAAAACCUUUAUUCAGUGUUUCUUUACAAACUCCAGUUUUUAGACCCGUUCCACAGCCGAGUUGUUGCAACUUGGCUCUGAAUCCACUAAAUGUAACACCUCAAACCUGGCCCAGACGUUAUUCCCAGAUCUGACGUGUCACAUGGACUUACGACUUAGCAUGCAUUCGUUGGUUUAAAUGAUUGGGGUAGUCUUUGUAAAAACAGCGGCUGAAUGAAAAGCUGGUUUAUCAAUCUUUAGGCUAUCCAUUUGUUGUACUUGUUGAGUCUUGAAAAUGUUUAUUAAUUUUCAAAACUCGCGCAGCUUAACACUAGCAGUUUCGUCAUAGUAUAAAUAUAAUCAGAAAAUAAAACCAUAGCGGAAAAAAGAAAUUUAAAUAGCGACCUUAUUACAACUUAAAACCCAAAAUUAAAUCAAAAUAUAAAAAUAAUAAAAAUAAACUAACUUAGAAAAACCAACUUUGCAGAUGAUGUGGCCACUCCGAAUCCCUCACAGCUCCAAGCGCACUAUGGUUGGGGAUUUCCUGCAGAGAUGAAAAUAAGGGGUGAGUUCGGUAAACUCAGUGUGUAACAUAACCCAACCAUAGCCCAAAACAGAUCAAACCUCAGAGUCAGACUUAUCUAGGCCUUGGCCCAGUACAGAAAUCAGAAUGAAACCCAAAUGCCCAUAGUAGAUACAGAACAAAUAUAUCAUGAAUGCAGAAAUCCCAACCCAGAGCCAUCCAUAACACCCCCGUACCAGCCUUACACCAUGUGGGGAGACUACUCGACCCAUCCAACCGCUACCCACCACCGAAAUUGCAGCGAGGCUGCCAGAUAUUGUGACGAAGUCACCAGAUACAGAUAUUGUGGCUAGGCCACCAGAACAUAUAUAUAUGUGUGUGUGUGUGUGUGUGUGUGGCGAAGCCAUCAGAUUGCAGCGAGGCUGCCAGAUAUUAUGACGAAGUCACCAGAACAGAUAUAUGUGGCGAGGCCACCAGAUUGUAGCGAGGCUGCCAAAACGCUUCCUCCAUCAAUAUAAACCCAUGUCCCAUGCAACAUAAAUAAUAUGUCAUGGCAUACGUAUACAGAAACAGAACAUCAUGCUUUUCAAAAAAAAAUAACCCUAGGGGUAAAAUCGUAACUUUGCAUGCAUAAGGGUAUUUCAGUAUUUAUUACGUAUUGCUAAGGUUUCAUGCUCAUUCUAACGUUUACCAAGUAAUUAGAAGUACUUACCUCGUCUAUUUAUCAAAGUGGGCCCGUUGGCCCAUUUGCCUAUUUUCGGCCCAUUGAGCCCAAAAAUACCAUUGUGCACGAAAAUGCACACUCUGCACUCUAAUCAUCCAAAUGCACCAUAUUCAUUAACAACUGUCUCACAAGUGCUCACACGCUAGCGAGUUCACAAAAUACCGAUGUUUCGGUAUUUCGACUUUUACCAAUUCAGUCUAAAGGAGGGUGUCGUUUACACACUUGGUUGAUGACGAUUGAUGACAAUAUCUCCCACGCGAUAAUCCUACAAUCGAUCACUAAGACAUUAGACUUACGAAUUAACGAUAACUGACAUAAGUCCACAUCACCUAACCCAAUCAUCACACAAGUUAGUCAUUUACGCACGAGGGGAAAAAUAGCCAUUUAACACCCUAGGGGCAAAAUGGUAAUUUUAGCCCACAAGGGUAUCUCGAUAAUUCUACCCUACAGGGGUAUUUCGGUAUUUCUACCCUACAAGGGUAUUUUGGUAAUUCUAUCCUACAGGGGUAUUUUCAUAAUUCUACCUUACAGGGGUAUUUCGGUAAUUCUACAACUUAUCCACUUGGGCCUACAGACCUAUUGGGACCACAUGCCCAAUUUCAGCCCAUCGCGGCCCAAAAUAGCCGUCCUACUGCUAGAGUAAUGAGAAAUACACACCUGUUGGGAGACUGCAGUUAAUCCGAGCUCCAAACACUCUUAGCUGACGCCCAACCCAAACGAACACGUCACAAAGCGAAAGGGAUUAGCCAAGAAGGGUAUGCCUACUCUCCUCAUGGUUUGAUCUAUUUAAAGCCAGCUCUCCAUCUACUCUUAUGUUAGCUUCCCGAUGUGGGAUCCCUCCAUCACCAAAGUUUAAAACCAACACCACUCUUGCCGUCCCAACAUAGUAAAAUAAUCAACCUUUGCGUGCCAAGGGAUUCGAACCAAAGUCCUUCACAUGCCAACUCACGCCACACCACUAGGCCAUCAACUCAUUUGUAUCAUAAAUCCAACACAUUAAACUUUAAAGCGCACCUACUUGCUUCCAGAUUUAUUGAAAAGAAAAACCAAAAUAUAUUGCAGGAGCCAGGACUUGAACCUUGGACCCCUUGCUUCCUCUAUGGCGUCACUUCCUUGUCCCCUAAGUGGCGCUACCUUGCCACAACACCAUACACCUUUUUGUGUCAUCUUUUAUCCCUUUACUCUUAAAAGCCCAAACGCCAAUUGCAUCAACUGUUCAUAAAAUUAAAAUUUCGAAGACUACCACGGAUUUAACUUAAGUUUGGGCCUUCCAAAGGCCCACUAACCUACUCAAAUAUAUAUUUUAACUAACCAGAACACAUACAAAUUUUAAAAAUCACAGAAACACAGAAAACCCGAAAAUUAGGGCGUUACAACUCUACCCUCCUUAAAGAAUUUCAUCCUCAAAAUUUUACCUGAAUCAAACAGAUGAGGAUAUUGUUGACGCAUCGCCACUUCUGGCUCCCAAGUAGCUUCCUCUCUGCCCAGAUUACGCCACAGCACCUUUACUAGUGGAACUGAUUUCCUCCUCAAAAUCUUAACAUCUCGAUCCAAAAUCUUCACAGGUUCUUCCUCAAAAGUCAAGUCUGUUUGGACCUCGAUCUCUGCAACCGGCACAACAUGAGUAGGGUCAGAACGAUACUGCCUUAACAUGGAGACGUGAAAGACAUCAUGAAUCUUAUUCAACUCUGGAGGUAGCUCCAACUGAUAACCCACUGGACCCACUCGCUUAAGAAUCUGAUAAGAACCGCAGACUUAACUUUUCUUUCCUCCCAAACCUUAAUAUUUUCUUCCAAGGCGAAACCUUUAAGAAGACCAUAUCACCCACAGAGUAUUCAAUUUCCUUGUGCUUCAAAUCUGCAUAUGACUUCUGUCUAUCAGAUGCUUCCUUCAACUGGUCUCUAAUCAACUUGACCUUAUCCUCAGUAUCUGCCACCAACUCAGGUCCGAGAACCUUCGUUCACCCAACUCGGUCCAACAACUAGGUGUACCACAUCUUCGCCCAUACAGUGCCUCAUAAGGAGCCAUUCGAAUACUUGCUUGAUAAUUUUUGUUGUAUGCAAACUCUGCCAAUAGUAAGUAAUCCUCCCAACUGCCUCGAAAGUCGAUAACGCAUUCCCUCAACAUGUCUUCCAGAAUCUAAAUAACCCUUUCUGACUGACCAUCAGUCUGAGAAUGAAAGGCUGUACUAAAGUGCAACCGCGUACCCAAUGCCUCAUGCAACUUUUUCCAAAACUGAGAUGUGAAUCUAGGAUCUCGAUCAGAAAUAAUCGACACUGGCACUCUAUGAAGUCGCACUAUUUCUUCCACAUACAAUUUGGCUAACUUUUGAAGUGAAUAAACAGUGCGGACAGGUAUGAAAUGAGCAGAUUUGGUCAACCAAUCCACAAUUACCCAAAUCGAGUCCUUCUUCGACGGUGUCAAGUGUAACCCACUCACAAAAUCCAUGGUUACUCUCUCCCACUUCCAAAGUGGUACUUUCACUGGCUGCAAAAGUCCGGAAGGUAAUUGAUGUUCAACUUUCACUUGCUGACAAGUCAGACAUUUUCCCACAACUUCUGUUACCUCUCGCUUCAAUCCAGGCCACCAAUACAACUCCUUUAAGUCGCGAUACAUUUUACUCCCUUCAGGAUGCAUAGCACACAGACCUCCAUGAGCUUCUUUCAGAAUUGCUUGCCUUAAGUCAGAGUCCUUCGGAAUAUAAACUCUUCCUCGGUAACACAGAACUCCCUUCCUAUUCAGUCCAAACUCAGAAGUAUCCCCAUUCUUAACCUACUGGAAUCGAGAAACCAGGGACUCAUCCCUCGACUAUUUUUCCUUAAUCUCAUCCACCCAGGUCGGCCUAACUUGUAGUUCUGCUAACAGACUACCGUCGUCAUACAGACUCAAACGAGCAAACAUGGCUCUCAGAUCAGAUACAGUUCUACGACUUAGGGCAUCAGCCACCACAUUAGCUUUGCCUAGGUGAUACUCAAUCGCGCAGUCAUAAUCCUUAAGUAACUCUAUCUAUCUCCGCUGCCUAAGGUUCAGCUGCUUCUGAGUCAGCAAGUACUUAAGACUCUUAUGAUCUGUGUAUAUAAUACACCUUUCUUCGUACAGGUAAUGUCUCCAAAUCUUAAGUGCAAAGAUUACCGCUGCCAACUCCAGAUUAUGAGUAGGAUAGUUAACUUCAUGUGGUUUAAGCUGUCGCGAUGCAUAAGCAACCACUUUACCCUCUUGCAUCAGCACACAGCCCAACCCUACAUGUGAUGCAUCACUGCAUACGGUAAAAUCUUUUCCAGACUCUGACUGUAUCAGUACAGGUGCCUUGGUCAGAACUUUCUCCAGCUUCUCAAAAGAUUCCUAUUGUUUCUCAGUCCAAACAAAUGGUACUCCCUUCCUAAUAAGCUUUGUCAAAGGCGCUGCCAUCACAGAAAAUCCUUCCACAAACCUUCUAUAGUACCUAGCUAAACCCAAAAGACUUCGAAUUUUCGACACUGACCUCGGUGGCUUCCAUUCCAGAAUCGCUUCAAUCUUUCGGGGGUCCAACUUGAUCCCUUCAGCAGAGACAACAUGCCCCAAGAAAGUUACCUCUCUCAACCAGAACUCACACUUAUUGAAUUUCGCAUAAAGCUCCUUCUCCCUCAGUACUUGCAGCACAAUACGAAGAUGCUCAUCAUUCUUCUCCUCAGCUUCAGAAUAAACUAGAAUAUCGUCGAUAAAGACGACCACGAAUCGAUCCAAGUAUGGCUGGAACACUCUAUUCAUCAGAUCCAUAAAUGCCGCAGGUGCUUUCGUCAACCCAAAUGGCAUAACCAAGAACUCAUAGUGACCAUACCAAGUUUUGAAUACUGUCUUGUGAAUAUCCACCUUUUUAACCCUCAACUGAUGAUACCCAGAUCGAAGGUCAAUCUUGGAAAAUAUCGAAGCUCCUCUAAGUUGGUCGAAUAAAUCAUCGAUUCUCGGCAGUGGGUACUUGUUCUUAAUCGUCAUUUUGUUCAACUGCCGAUAAUCAAUGCACAUCCGUAUUGACCCGUCUUUCUUCUUUACGAACAACGCUGGUGCUCCUCACGGAGACACACUUGGUCUAAUGAAGCCUCUAUCCAAUAACUCUUGUAUUUCGGCUUUCAGCUCCACCAACUCCUUCGGUUCCAUCCUAUAAGGUGUAAUGGACAUCGGUGCCGUUCCAGGCAACAAGUCGAUUCCAAACUCAACCUUUCGAUUGGCUUACAAAUCCUAAAUAAGCCUCACAUCCCUUUCGAAUCCACUUCUCGGCUCUCAAUGCCGAAACCACAUUAGACAGUUAAUCCCUACGCUCGCCUAUCACCAAAACCUCCUCACCUUUAUGUUCUUUAACAUCAUUCGCUUAGCAGCACAAUCCAGAGUAGCCCUAUGCUUAACAAGCCAAUCUAUUCCCGAAAGAAGAUCGAAUUCUCCGAAAGGUAGCUCCAUCAAAUCUCCAGAGAAAACUUUUCCUUGAGUUUCUAUAGGCACAUCUCUAUACAGUUUAUCUACCCUAACCGAGAGACCCAAAGGACUUAGUACAGAUACCCCACUCACGAUCUCCUCAGAGCGCACACCCAGCGACCCAGAUAUAGGACAUGCAACAUAUGAAUGGGUAGAUCCAACAUCUAUCAACGCAGUGUAUGGCAUACUGGAAAUCAGAAACAUACUAGUUAUGACGUCAGGUGCAUCACCCUCCUCUCGGUGACGAGCUGCAUACUCCAACGCCGGCUGACGAGCCUCAGCAAAUCCAGCACCUCUGCCAGGCGCUCCUCUUCCUCGAUCGUUUCCAUUACCACCUCUGCCUUGCCCACGUCCUCUCAAAAACUGUGGUCCACCACUCACUGGUUGAGUGACCCUCUGCUCUAAAACUUGAACCUGAUCUGGUUCCUGGGGACAAUCUUAACCCUAUGCUCCAUAGAUCCGCAUCGGAAGCAAGCACCAGAACGUUUCUGACACUCGCCCAUAUGCAUCUUCCCAUAAUUCUUACAACCCUGCGGCCUAACAGAAUUCAUCGGUACUACUUGAACUGGCUCCAUUACCCUUGCUCUCUUAACAUUCCUCUUCAUACCACCUGAAAGUCCUGAAUCUCUCCUAAAAUGGUUCUGAUCUUUCUCACGAUUCUGUUUUUCUGUAUGCUUCACUUCCUCAGCUAUCUUAGCUUUCUCCACUAAAGCAGUGAAGUUAAGCUCCCUAUGCGGAGUAAUCAGCACCCUAAGUUCAUCGCUCAGACCAUCCUCGAAGCGUACGCUACGCUCAUACUCUAUAGCGACAAUCCCAGAAGCAUACUGGCUCAGUCUUAGAAACUCAGACUCAUACUCAGCCACUGACUUACUCUCUUCGACCAGGUUCAGAAAUUCUUUCCGGUGAGUGUCCACGUAACUAGCCCCAACAUACUUUCCUUUGAAGGCUGUCUUAAACAGCUCCCAAGUCACACUGUCAGCAGGAGUUCCAUCUCUCACUAUGAGCCACCACUGAUAAGCCUCGUCCCUGAGUAACGAUAUGGCUCCCUUCAACUUCUGCUCCACAGAGCAAUCCAGAUCAUCCAUAAUCCACUCUGUGGCUUCUAACCAAUACUCAGCCACAUUCAGAGCUACACCAGAUACGCCCCUAAAUAUCCCUGCUCCAUUGGCCUAGAGCCGCUCAGAAAUAGACCCCCGAAUUUUGUUUCUCGUACUUGCCCCAACAACCCUUUCCAAAACUCAGAGCAUUGCCUGGGACAGAGCAUCGUCCUCGGCACCUCGAUCAUGAGACUCUACCUCCGUUGCCGGUGGUACCGGUGCAUCUACUGCCGGUACAUGUCUUGAAGAUGAAGAUUCAGCCUGAGCAUUACCUCGGCCACGUCCACGGCCUCUUGCACGAGCUGCUUGUGUACUCAUUUCUUAUUAUCUGUUUAAGAAUUUUAUGAAUCAGUUUAAUAUUUCAGUGUUUAUUACAGAUGUCUUAUGAAUAACCGUAAUUCAAAGUUUGAGUUUGUUUCUUUUUGCGGUAGCCUAGCUACAGUCUCAGUCUACUUAUCAGAGUUUCUAUAGUUCCAGUGUUACCCUAACUAAAGUACCAUGAUAAGGUUUUGUACAAGCAUAUAACAGAUAUUUCAGAAACAAUUAAAAAGGCUCAGAAAACUUACAGACUUGGGCCGGAGAUUCGGUGUGCCACUUUCUAAAAAACCUAAUUUUAGAAAACCGAUUUUAAUCUUUAAAAUCAUCUAUUUGUAAAGAGAAAAUAUUGGAAACAUUCUUGAAAACAAUUUAUAAUCAAGUUUCAAAAAAACGAUUUUUGAAAACCUUUAUUCAGUGUUUCUUUACAAACUCCCAUUUUUAGACCCGUUCCAUAGUCGAGUUGUUGCAACUUGACUCUGAUACCACUAAAUGUAACACCUCAAACCCGGCCCAGACGUUAUUGCCAGAUCUGACAUGUCACAUGGACUUACAACUUAGCAUGCAUUCGUUGGUUUAAAUGAUUGGGGUGGUCUUUGUAAAAAUAGCGGUUGGAUGAAAAGCUGGUUUAUCAAUCUUUAAGCUAUCCAUUUGUUGUGCUUGUUGAGUCUUGAAAAUGUUCAUUAAUUUUGAAAACUCGCGCAGCCUAACACUAGCAGUUUCGUCAUAGUAUAAAUAUAAUUAGAAAAUAAAACCAUAGCGGAAAAUAGAAAUUUAAAUAGUGACCUUUUUACAACUUAAAACUAAAAAUUAAAUUAGAAUAUAAAAAUAAAAAAAAAUAAACUAACUUAGAAAAACCAACUUUGCAGAUGAUGUAGCCACUCCGAAUCCCUCACAGCUCUAAGCCCAUUAUGGUUCGGGAUUUUCUGCAGAGAUGAAAAUAAGGGGUGAGUUCGGUAAACUCAGUGUGUAACAUAACCCAACCAUAGCCCAAAACAGAUCAAACCUCAGAGUCAGGCUUUAUCAAUGGUAUUAUUGAAUUAUCAAUGGUAUUAUUGAAUUAUAAAAUUAAAAAGACAACAACAAUUCAGCUGUAAUAUCCCGAAUUAGGGCCUACAAAAUUCAUAAUAAAUUGGCUACAAAAUUCAUAGUAACUUUGUCCCAUUUCUUACUCGAUGUCAACAGUAAAUUGGCUACAAAAUUCAUAGUAACUUUGUCCCAUUUCCACUUAGAUAUUAUGAUCGGCUGAAGCAAUCUAGAAGGUACCUAAUGUUCGGCUUGUACUUGCUGACAGACUAAACAUUUCGAAACAAAAUAAGAAAUGUCUCGUUUCAUGCCAUGCCACCAGUAAAACUGUUUUAGAUCAUUAUACAUUUUCGUACUACCCGGCUGAACAGAUAAUCGACUAUUAUGAGCUUCUUUCAAAAAUCAUCUGAAUCAACUCUGGAUUUCUCGAAACACAUAUUCGAUUUCUAAACCUCAUAUAAUAUUCAGUAUCAAGUCGAAACUCUGAAUCAAUAUUCAAAUCACAUUAGCCCCGUUUUGCUAAUAAUUUAUUAUCAACUUUCUAAGCCUCAUAAAUAUGUUGAAUAUAUAACGGUCUUACUUUUAACUUGACUAUAAUUGCACCAUCAUCAGAUGUAGUCAUAUGCGCAUUCAUUGCACGUAAAGCAAACAGUGAUUUUUGGCUUAGAAUAUUUGCAACAACAUUAGCCUUUCCCAGAUGAUAGUCUAUCACAAUCUCGUAAUCUUUUAACAUAAAUUAGAUCUUUCUGAGUCAUCUAAUAUUUCAGGCUUUAGUUAUCAGAAUAAAUGUGUCAUUUUUUUACUGAACAGAUAUUGACGCCAUAUUUUCAUUACAAACACAAUAGCUACCAAUUCCAGGUUGUGUGUCGGAUAUUUCUUUUCAUGCAGCUCUAACUGUCUCGAUGCAUAAGCUAUGACUUUGCCUUCCUGCAUUAAUACACACCCCAAACCAUUUAAAGAUGCAUCACUAUAGAUAACAAUUUUUUUACCCGAUUCUGGCUGAUUUAAUAUUAGAGCUUCGAUUAAAAGGGCUUUCAAGUGAUCAAAACUUUUCUGACCUCUCGAACUUAACGUCUUUAUGUAAUAGCUUUGUCAUCGGGAUUGCAAUCAUAGAGAAACCUUUCACGAACCGUCUAUAAUAACCAGCAAGUCCUAGAAAACUUCAGUCUUUAGAAACAUUUCUCGGAGGUUUCCAAUCAAGUAUAGCUUAAAUUUUACUCGGAUCAACAAGAAUACUUGAUGCUGAUAUAACAUGUCCCAGAAAACAAACUUCACGUAACCAGAACUCACAGUUGCUGAAUUUUGUGUACAAUUGUUUAUCUCGCAAAGUCUGUAAUACAAGUCUCAGAUGUUUGGCAUGUUCAGUUUCAUCACGGAAAUAGAUCAAUAUGUCAUCUAUGAACACAACUAAAAAUCAAUUCAGAUACUGUCUAAAGAUCCAGUUCAUCAAAUCCAUAAAAAUAAGCAGGUGCAUUAGUAAGUCUGAAAGGCAUAACCAAAAACUCAUAGUGUCUGUACCUCAUUUGUAAAGCAGUCUUUGGCACAUCGGAGUUUUUAACUCGCAACUGAUAAUAACUUGAUCUCAAAUCUAUCUUUGAAAACACUGUAGUCCCUUUCAGUUGAUCGAACGGAUUGUCAAUCCAUGGCAACAAAUAUUUAUUCUUUAUAGUCACGUUAUUGUGCUGUCUAUAGUUAAUAUACAUUUUCAUAGUUCCGUCUUUCUUUUUCACAAAUAAAACUGGUGCACCCUAGGGAAAGAAACUCGAUCGCAUGAAACCUUUAUUUGUCAACUAUUGCAGCUGAGCUUUCAAUUCUUUUAAUUCAGUAGGUGCCAUUCUAUACGGAGCUAUCGAUAUCGGACUCGUCCUCAGCACUAAUUGAAUACCAAGCUCUACUUCUCGGAUAGGUGGCAAACCUGGUAAUUCUUUAGGAAACACAUCCAGAUACUCGCACACAACUGGUACUAAUUCAAUCUUUCUUUCGAUCACUUUACUAUCAAGCACAUAGCAAAGUAAGCUUUACAACCUUUUCUCACAUACUUCUAAGCUAACAUCGAAGAUAUCAUUGCCGGUAAACCAUUCAAAUCAUUAAACUCAAUCUAGUUAAUCUCAUCAUUUAGGUAUCUCAAAUCAAUAGCCUCUCGUUUGCAAUUUACAACAACAUAAUGCAAAAUCAACCAAUCCAUACUCAGAAUUAUAUCGAAAUCGUAAUGGUAACAACAUCAAAUCAACCAAAAAAUAUGAAUCUCGAACUAUCAACAAACAAUUCUUACACAUUUUAUCAACCAGAACACACCGACCCAAAGGGUUCGAUAUUCUAAUCACAAACUUAGCAGACUCUACAAGCAAAGUCUUACUGGAUACUAAGGUUUCAUGUACAUAAGAAUGAGUCGAACUAGAAUCAAUCAAUGCAAUUACACUAGUAUUAUAGAGAGUUAAUAAACCAGUAAUAACAUCUGGGGUUGAAACCUCCUCACAAACGUGAAUAGCAUAAUUUCUGACAGGUGCACGAGCCUUAGAUCUAACUACUGUGUCUUUAGCUCCUCUCUAACUACUACUUACAUUUCCCGCAUUUCUAGGAAAUCUACUCUUGGCUGAAGUGUUACUUAAUCUCAAAUUUUGCACAAUCUCUUGCUCAACCGACUUGGGACAAUCUCAGAUAAAGUGAUCAAAGGAUCUACAUCUAAAACAAUCUUGAUUAUUCAAUCUACAAAUACCCGGAUGUAUUUUACCACAAUGUUUGCACUUAGGUUGAUCAGAUCUAACAUUUUCAACACUAGUGAUCGAAGUAGUUGGAGUUCUAAAGCUCAAAUGUGAUCUAUCACAAUCUCUACUCGAGUGUUUGACAUUAGCCUUUGUGCGGCUAAAAUCAUCUCAGAAUUUCUUUGUUGCAGACUAAAAUGAUUUGCCCGAUGAUCUCUCACGGGAAUCAUUGGCUUCAAAAUCAACUUUUCUUUUCUUUUCUUUUUGUAUAACUUGGGAAGUUACAGGAACUUCAGGGGUGGAGGUUGUUGAGCAGUUGGAUUCAUUCGAACGAACUCCGUGAACCACUCAUUCAUUAACUGGAAGAAGGCUUGCUUAGCCUCUCCCUCUAUACUACUCGAAAUCGGCCUAGAAUCAACCGGCGCAGCCCUCUGAGUAGGAGCAAGCACAUUAUCUUCCAUGUCAUCCGUUACAGCUCGAUCGGGAUCCAUUUCUAUAAGAAAAGACAUUUUUAACUGUUAUGAAUCAUCACACUAUCGCAGUUUAUAAUUAUGGCAUGUAUAGCUAAACUCACACGUGCUACGUUAGUGCUAGAACCGACUAAACUGUAGCUCUAAUACCAAUCAAAUGUAACACCCCUAACCCGUGUCCAUCGUCGGAAUGAGAUUAAGAGCCAUUACUAGAAAGAUACAACUUUCAUACAUUCUUACAGUCACUCAAAUCAUAUUCGAAGGUAUACAUUUGUAACUUCAGUUAACAAUUCUUGAAUCAUUUACACAUAAUACAAAACAAUUUUUAUUAAACUCACAUAUAAUCAACUUGUUAGCUUAUAACCUAAAUUACUAUUCAUAUGGUCAAUUUCCAAUACAUUAACUGAAUAUUAAAACAUACUAUAUACAUAUGCAUUGGUCAAUGUCAACUUUCAUUUUUCUUUAUUACUAUAUAUGCAUAUAACAUUUUUUUAUAAUCAAACCACUAUGUCAAUCUUCACAUAUUUAACAAUCCACAAACCAAUUCAAAGCAUAAUUACCAAAUCAAACAUACCAAAAUUUAAAUGCCAACAUCAUGAAAAAAUUACAAAUACAUGAUCAAUUCAUUUGCUCACCUAUUCGGCCACCAAGAUUAAUCAUAUAUGUAAUACAAAUUAUGCCAUUCAACCACAAGCUUAAAUAAACCAUUUUCUAAUCAAAACAAAGUUGAUCAUUUCACAACCAAUGAUUUCAUAAGCCUAAUUUAUAACUAAACCUAUGACCACUCGAAUAUAAUCCUGCAUUAAUUCACUUAGUAACUAGUCAUAUAACCAUUACAACAUGUUUAUAAUAUAAUCAUGAAAUCAAAUCAAUUCAAACUAAUUUAUAAGUACAAAUGUCGAAUCCAAACAUGCUAAUUAUACAUACUAUGCAUUAUACCAAAAUUUAACCCAAUACCAACUUACUUUAUAUCAAUUCGGGUAGUAAAGUUAACCACAAAAAUCAUACAAAUUUUUUAUACUUUAUAAUAAACCAAAACAUCACCUAAUAAGCUAAUAUAUAAAUAUACAACAUAUUGGGCAUUUCUAAUUGUCGAAUCAUAUGAUCAACACUACCACAUAUAUGCCAUAUAUUAAAUUUAUCAGUAUGACUAAUUUAUAAGUCAUACAUAUCAAUACUCGACUUAAUCAUAUAACCAAAACACCAUUCAAUCAUGCCAUGGAGUAUACUUAUCAUUAUAUAUAUUUAUUUUAUGUCAAUUUACUAAAUCAUCAAUAAGCCUAAUAAACAAGUAGAACCAUAUAACUUAAUAUCACAUAUAUAUAUACACCAUGAAAUACACUUCCAUGUUGAAAUAAGGCAUAGCCACAAACACACAAACUUUAACCUUAUCAAACCCAAAUAUCCACAGCUCACUUAUUAUAAAUUCAAAUACAUGAAUCAUAAUUUCAAUUUCAGAAAUAAUUAUACCUGAUUAAUCAUGUAUCAUAAAAGAGCACAUUUCAAAAUUCCAUCUAAUUCAAUUCGAACAUACAUCAAAACCCAAUUGAACAUGUUUCAUAAUUGCUAAUUUCGAGCCUAACAUACAAUAAUAAUAUUUUUAUAAUAAAACCAUUACUAUCAAAUACAAGACAUAACCAAAACAUUUUAACCAUGAAUAACAUAAUAAGCAUAAUUCAUACUGAUGUAUAUACCAUGGCCAAUUCCAAACAAACCACAUCCAAAAUCACAAUCAAACAUAACCAUAAUUCAAUCAAAACUUGAAACCGGACUUAACAAUUAAACAAGCCAUUUUUGUAUGGCUUAUAUAUAUACACAUACCAAAAUCAUCAUAUCCAAAAAAAUAAUCUAGCCUAUACAUGCCAUAACUUUGAAAUUCAACUUAUAAAAUACCAAAAACAAUCGAUAGUGUGAUAAGCUUCUUUGAUGAUCCUCGAGUCCGUAACUAAUCUCCAAAAUCUGUAAGACAGAAGCAAACACACACAGAGAGUAAGCUAACAUAGCUUAGUAAGUCAUAAGCAAAUAAGACAUUUAAUCACAUUUAUAAUUUAAUUUAACGAAUAUUAUAAAUUCACAUACAACAUAUACUUUUAUAUAUAAACUUUAUGUUGGUCGAAUAUACAAAUAUUUAUUAUCAAAAUAUCAUUCAAUUUUAAAGCCAUAAUAUUAUUAUAUAACCGAAUAUAUAUAGAUUUAUAUGCAUAUACUCAUUAAUCAUCUCAUAAGUAUUCACAUUUUAAAAUCACAACAUCGAAAAUAACCAUUCAUAUAUGUUUGCACAUAGAUCACAAAUAUGAUAUCUAUUAUAUGUAACCUUUUUUCGAAUAUACUUUUCAUAUACACGUAUAUUUUCAUUUGCAUCAUAUAUAAUUUGUAUCAAAUAUCAAAUAACCAACUUACCUUAUUUUCAAAUAGAUAAUCAACUAUCUCAUACCCGAUCACUUUAGCUCGAUUUACACAUUCAAUUACAACUUAUCAUUGCCCAUUGAACUAUUCAGAAUUGAAUAGGAUACUCGGAUAAUCACACAUAUCGUACAAUGCCAACGUUCCAGACGUGGUCUUACAUGUUAUCACAUAUCGAUGCCACUGUCCCAGACAGGGUCUUACUCGUACACACAUAUCAGAAUCACAUAUCGAUGCCAACAUAUUAAACGUGGUCUUACUCGCACACAUAUAUCGAUGCCAACGUAUUAAAUGUGGUCUUACUCGCACACAUAUAUCAAUGCCAUGGUCUUACUAGCACAUCACAUAUCAGAAUCCUAUGUCAUGACAUAUGCAUCCUAGCUAUUCCCAAGGUUCAUAUGGGGCUUUCGGACGUCGUAACACUGUCGAAACGAACUUGUAAACAUAGUUCCCAAGUAUAAACACAUUCGUCUAUCAUAUAUAUACAAGCUCAUAAAAUUUAAAUCAGCAUUCUACAUUCACAUAUAUUCAAAAUUUUAUAGCAUUUAUUUACUUAAAAACUUACCUCAGACAACGAUAAUCGAAACAGAAUGACUAAUCGACAUCUUUAGUUUUCCCCCAAUCCAAAUCCGAUUUCUUUAGUUCUUGAUCUAAACAUAUUCAAAUUAAACUCAUUCAAACAUAAUUCUAUUCAGUUCAGUCCAAAAACACAUAAAUGGGAAAAUUACCAUUUUACCCCUGACCUUGUACACUUUUUACAAUUUAGUCCAAAUUGCACAAAACACAAAACAUGCAAAAUUUGAAUACACUAUCUUAGGUAGAAUAUUCCUUAUGUUCAUACAAGUCCAUACAUUUGAAUAAACUAUUUAGUCCUAAUUACUCAAAAUUAUCAAAAAUUCCAAUACAAAACAUGUUAAUCCAAAACAUAUAUUUCAUAUUUCAUCAACUAACAUCACAAAACUCAAAUAUUGAUCAAUGGAAUAGCUCAAAAUAUUCAUCAAAAUAAAAAAUUCAAACAUGGGCUUUGUACAUUACACUACAACGAUCUCAAAAACAUAAAAAAUAUCAAAAACCGAGCUAAAACUCACAUUGAAUGAAGCUUGCUAAUGGAUGAAUAACUUAAGCUUUGUUUCUUUUCUUUCUUUCUCAAUUUCAGUCAAGUGUAUGAGUAAAAUGCAUGACUUUUAAUUUUUUGUUUUAUAUUAAUAUAAUUUAUUAAUCAUUUUACCAAUAUAACCUUUAUAAUUUAAUAAUUAAAACUUAUACAUUAAGGCUAUAACCGUCCAUCACUUUAUCAAUGGUAUUAUUGAAUUAUAAAUACCUCAAAUUAAAAAGAGAACAACAAUUCAUCCCUUUCACAUUUAACCAUUAAAUUUUUAUUUUAUGCGAUUAAGCCCUUUUUAUUAAAUCGGCACUCAAACGACAAAAUUAAAACACAAAAAUUUCAUAGAUAUAAAUUCACACAUAAUAAACACAGAAAAUAAUUUUAAAAUAUUUUUUUGACUUGGAUUCAUGGUCCCAAAACCACCAUUCUGAAUAGGGUCUAAAUCGGGCCGUUACACUCUGAAUCAACUUUCCUCUUUUCUCGGCUAGAGGCUUCGGCUUUGCAAGCUUGGCCAACUAACACAACAAAUUCUUUCAAAUCCAAAAUCCUGACCAGAAUUUUAAUAUCCUCGUUUAACCCAUCAAAAAAUCGCUUGCACAUAAUCUCUUCAGUAGAAACAUACUCCUGAGCAUAUUUAUUCAACUGUACAAAUUCUCUCUCGUACUCGGUUACGGUCAUAUGGCCCUGUUUCAGUUCUAGAAACUCUUUAUGUUUUUUAUCCAGAAAUCAUUGGCUUAUAUAUUUCUUCCCAAACUCAGUUUGAAAGAAAUCCCAAAUGACUCUCUCUCUUGGCACCACUGAUACUAGCAUAUUCCACCACUGAUAUACGGUGUGUCUCAAUAGUGAUAUAGCACAUUUUAAACAUUCAGCCGGUGCGCAAGAAAGUUGAUCAAAUACUUUGAUAGUGUUUUCAAGCCAAAACUUAGCUCUCUCAGAAUCAUCGUCAACAUUAACUUUGAACUAUUCAGCCCUGUGUUUACGAAUCUUAUCAAUUGGGGUCUUAUUCAAUCUUAAAAGCUCGACUCCUUAAGGAGCUAUGGAAACUAGUUGGGGAUUAGGAGGGGGUGGAGGUUGUUGAGCAGCUGGGUUCAUUUGAAUAUAUUGUGUGAACCACUUAUUCAUCAUUUAGAAGAAGGCUUCUCUACCCUCUCCUACCUGGCUACCCAACACGGGUCUAGAAUCAGACGAUGUUGUCCCUUGAGUGGGAGCGGACACAUUACUUUUAACCUCAUCAGCUAUAGCUCGACUGGGAUCCAUUCACUAUAUGAAAACACAUUUUAAAAUGUCAGAAGUCAUCAAACUAUCACAGUGUAUAUAUGGAAUGUAUAGCUAGACUCUCAUAUACGCUACAUUAGUCCUAGAAUCGAGUAAACCGUAGCUCUGAUACCAAUAAAUGUAACACCCUUCACUCGUAUUCAACACCAGAAUGGGGUUAUAGAGCGUUACCUAACUUAUAAAACAAUUAAACAAUCAUGUCGCAAACAUUUUCUGAAUUCAACCAUUCACCAUUCAAUCUUAAUCAAUUUGUCCUUAAUACGAGCCUACGAGGCCGUAAACAUACCUUGGGAGUGGUUCGGGACUAAACCGAUAACUUAUGAAACUUUACGAAACUUAAAAAAAUUUUCCUCAAAAAAUGGGACACACCCCCGUGUGGCCAGGCUGUAUGUCUCACACGGCCACUAGACACGCCCGUGUCAUAGGCCGUGUAGACAUUCAAAACAGGAGCACAUGGCCGUGUCCCAGCCUAUGUCUAACCCUUUGUAACUCUCUGACUUGGAUCGCACGGCCAACACACACGCCUGUGUGCCCUAAAAAUGGUCACACACGCCCGUGUGGUAAGCCGUGCCAAACUUAUAAGGUAUACUGACUUAUGCCACACGGCCAAGUAACACGCCCGUGUAUAAGGUUGUGUGGAACAUAAUGACUUGUUUUCAGAUUCAAUACCAGGGGACACACCGCCGUGUACUUGAUCGUGUGUUACACACGGCUGAGACACACGCUCGUGUAGAAAAAAAUAGGCUAUUUACCAAGCCAAUUUGCCACCCAAAUAUGCAUAUACCUACACAACCAAAAUGGCAUCAAAUCAUAGCAUAAUUGAACAUCUCAUUUAGCAAUAAUCAAGGCUAAUUCAUACCAUUUUCAAUGCUAACAACCAACAUGCUUAUAAACUCAUGUUUUACUCAUUCAAAACAUACCAAAUACCAAUUACUUCAACAUCAAUAUAUCUAAACUCAAAUAUGCAUUAUUUGGUCUAAUUUCAAUAGCAUACCAAUUCACAAAUCAUCACCUAUUGACAUUCAAUUUACCUAUUCACAACAAGCAUCAUGAAUAAAACUUCAAUCACGCAAUAUAAGUCAUUUACCAACUCAAAACAAAAGUCAUUUGCACACUGAUAUACAUCAUCAAAUUCACCAUCCUAGGCCAACUUAUAUGAUUAUAUAUACAAACCAAAAUAUGUACAUUUACAAGCCAAUUCAUUUGGCCAAUGUCAUUACCAAAACAUAACCAAAAUGACCAAAGUCCCUAUACAUGUCAUAUACUUAAAAUUCCAAGUUCAUAGGUACCAAAAGAUAGGUGGAUAGUGUGAUGCGAUCUCCGACAGUCCCCGAAUAUGAGCUACCUUUGAUACCGCAAUAAAACAAAGGAAAAUAAACAAUGUAAGCUAUAAAUCUUAGUAAGAUCGUAUGAAAUAAACUCUAUGCAAUCACAUAAACAUAAAUUGAUAAUUUGAAUACAACAAUAUAUAGCUUUCCUUAACUAUGAAACCUUUCAAAUGCUCAUUCACAAAACUAUAUACUUCCAUUCUCAUUUCUUUGAUUCAACACUAAAAUAGUUUAUACACAUACCUGUAUCAUCUCGUACCAACCUCAUAUCCAUUCUCAUCUUUCAUUUACCUGUUGAACCAUUCAAAAUAGAAGUCGGAUACUCAAGGGUCUCACACGACAAGUACCUAUACCAUGGCCAUAAGCUAAAUCAAGGUAACUUAUCCGAAAAACUGAUAUCAUGGCCCAAAGGCAAAUCAGCUGAUAUGCAUGGCCCGAAGCCAAAUCGGUUUAUCUUGCACCCAAAGUGCUAUAUCAUGGCCCGAAGCCAACUCAAAGUAUCCCUAAUGACAUGUCACUAGCAUCAUAAACUAUUCCUAAGGUUCAACCGAGCUUCUAAUUAUCAAAUCAUCGUCGAAUCAUUCCCAGACUUGUCUGAAGUCACAUAAUCACAAUUUAUGCUAUAUCAAAGCAUAUAGAAUACAUUUGAAAUGAAAUUAUAACAUACGAACUUACCUUGGAUGCUAAAAUGGCGAAUCGAGUCUACUAUUCCGUAACUUUAUUCAUUCCCUAAUCUAAGCCCGUAUUUCUCCUUUCUUGAUUUAAAUAUAUUCAAAAUUAACUCAUUUAAUCAUCUAUUCAUUCAAUUUAGUCCAAAACACACUUUAAACCACAUUUACACUUUUGCCCUUAAUAUUUCACUUUUUUUACAAUUUAGUCCUCAUUUCAUAAAAUCACAAAUUAAUGAAAUUUCAAUUAAACCCAUGCUAGCUGAAUUACUAUUAUGCCCUUAGCAGCCCAUUUUUUUCAUUUAUUUCACAUUUUAACUACUAACUUUCCACAUUUCACAAUUUAAUCCCUAUUUUACAUUUUUACUAAAAAUCACUUAACAAAACUUGUUUAACUAUCAACAACUAUUCAAAAUCAAUCAUCAAACAUCAAAAUACUCAUGUAUUAGUCAAUGACAUCAAUCAAAACCUUUAAUAGUUUUGCAAAUUAGUCCAUGGGCUAGCUAGUACUAGUUGCAACGAUCACAAAAAUAUAAAAUCAUUAAAAAACCGAGCAAAAAUGAACUUACAAUUGAACGUUGAAGUAGUCAAAAUUUUCAAGCCCUAAAAUGGAUUUCUCCAUGCUUCAUUCAGCCAAGAAGAUCAAUGAAACAAAAACCUUUAUGUUUUGUUUUAAUUAAUAUUAAUCUUUAAUUAUUACUUUACCUUUUUAACCAUAAAAUAAAACCAUUAAAAUCACAUAAUAGUUGUCCAUAAUUGUCCAAUCAUGCCAUUAGUGGUAUAAUUACAACAUAAGGACCUGAAAUUUAAGGUUCUGUAUCUAUUAAACACUUUUAGCUAAUAGAACUCCACUUUUACACUUUACGCAAUUUAGUCCUUUUUACCGAAUUAAGCAUUCAAACAAUAAAAUUACUUCACGAAAUUUUCACACAAUCAUAUAUUCAUGUUGUAGACCUUAAAUUAAUAAUAAAAUAAAUAUUUCAGCCUCGAAUUUGUGGUCCCGAAACCACUGUUCUAAUUUGACUAAAAACAGGCUAUUACAUUUAAAUUAUGUAAUUUUUUAUGAAAUGGUUUAUCAUGUAACACCCCAAACCCGACUUAGAUGUUAUGGCCGAAUCCGGAUGUGUCACAUGAAAUGGGUUGGAAAAUCGUUGUCGUUAAGUUAAAAUCUUUCCAGUGCAUUAGCCUUUCUCGCUCUUAUUAAUUUCAAAGCUCUCUUUCAUUUGAUCAUUUAGAGAUAAAAAAGUGUUUUUAGCAGAAGCUUAUAAAAUCGUUAAGUUUAGGAAAAAUCGUUUGAUAUUUUUAGAAAACAUGUCUUAGAUAAAAACCAUUAUAAUGAAAAGUAAGUUAAAUCCAAACCCAAAAACCCAAUAAAGCAGUUUAAAAUAGUUCAGAGAGUCCUAAAAAAUACAACUCUCAUCAAUGCCAAGAUUGAAUAAAAACUGUAAACAUAAUAAAAUAAGACAGUUAUGGCGAGUGGUCACCAUUGAGUCCUCCGCUAUACCAAUCCGCCUAACUCUAUGGAUUACUAAACAAAAUAAGCAGAAAGGAGUGAGUUAACGUAAACUUAGUGUAAGUCAGAGUCAAUUAGAGACAAAUCUGGGCCUGAUCCCAUCACAGAUACAAAUGCAUAUUCGGGCUUAAGCCCAUUUCAGAUACAGAUACAUAUUUGGGCCUAAGCCUAUUUCAAAUACAGAUAUAGAUAUACACAUUAGAAUCAGAAAGCAAUAUCCUACCCCCAUUCUCUACACACCAUCUCCAACCAACCUUACAAACCAUGUGCGGUGUAAAACACCCACCCAGCCCUACACACUAUGAUGUAUCGAUGUGGCACAUAUCAGAAAUAGUAGAUAUAUUGCAGCCAUGCUGCUAGAUAUUAGGCAUAAUCUGCCUUUCAGACACUUCCUCCAAAAAUAUAUCAUCCCAACCACCAAAUUCAGAUAUCAGAACAUACAUAAAUAACUUAUAGGUAGUCAUGCUUUCGAAAACAAAUAACAGACAAUCAUACCAAUCAAUCAUCAAACAUGCUCAGAAUAGCAUAUCAGUUAAUUAGAUCAUACAAUUUAUGGUUUAGUUAGAUCUUACCGAGCCUAUAGUAGGUCCAUAGUCGUUUGACGACCCGUGCAACCCUGGGAAAAACUCAAAUAAACAGGCCCACAUGCCUGUGUGGGCCCACACGCCCAGAUUGUCCUUGCCGAUGUAGCCCACAUAGCCCAUCUUGGCCUAGCCUGUAUGGCCCACAUGUCCACACUUGAGCCACCACAUGGCCAUGCGCUACGCAGUGCCAUGCCUUCAUCGAUCAUACGGUCGUGUUGUCUCACAUGGCCUACCACACUGGUGACCACACACCCGUGUGGCGUCAAUAGUGGGAUUUUUUGGCUUUUGUCGAGACCUCAUUUUUUGCAUUUUGGGUACACACCUGGUUCGUUUAAGAUGCUACAGCAAUCCCAACGCUCAAAAUUAGACUUAAUACACGAUUAAUUUAUAACUACGAAACCAAUAUCAACACAAAAACUUACUCUAACACCCCAAAUGAUUCGAUUACGAUUCUGAACUAAGUGAGCCCCUUUCCUCUCGAUUUGAUACCGCCAAAAUAGACAGUGAGGUUCUAAACGGAUGCUUUCGAAACAUAAACAGAAAUAGAUUUAAGGAACCUCUAAUCAAGCAAUUCAUUCUAUGCCCAUAUACCUUAACCGAACAAAGAAUCCCCAAAAUUACAAGAACAACAAUGAAAACUUAAAAGUGAUGAGCAAAAUUGAAGAAACAAUAAGAGUCAAAACUUUACCUGGAAAGGGAAAAAAGUCAAAAAGAAAAAGAUAAAGAGAUUUUUAGGGAAAAAACAAAAAGAAAUAAAUAUAUAUGAUAGCAUAUCCCUAGAUUCUCCCGCCACUAACUCAACUUCCUUAGACUUCCCACUCGAUCAAAACUCUAUCAGAUUACGAAACAAAAUAUCACCUAGGGAUUCGAACUUAGGACCUCCAGCACAACACAUAGACUCCCUUACCAUUCGAACCAGUACACUCAUUCUGAGAUGGUUUUACAAAAAAAUUAAUAUAAGCCCACUCCCCAAACGCCAGGCUUAAAUCAAAAAAAUAUCAAAAUUUGCCAAAAGUAGGGCUUGAACUUGGUACCUCCCACACAUACCUAAAACACUUAACCUCUGAAGUCGAUACACAUUUGUGUCACAUUUUCACAAAAGCAGAAGUAAGAAUUUUGGGGCGUUACAAUUCUUCCCUUAAAUGAACUUUUGACCACGAAAUUUAGCUGAUCAGAAUAGAUGAGGAUACUGUUGACACAUCAAUCCUGAAGUUCCUACGUGGCCUCCUUAGUGCUAUGAUUUUUGCACAGAACCUUCACUAAUGGACUGGGAUUCCUCCUUAAAACCUUAACAUCUCGAUCCGAGAUCUGAACCAGCUCAUUCUCAAAUUUCAAGUUCGGCCUAACCUCUAUCUCCUCAACUGAGAUGACAUGGGAUGGGUCAGAACAGUACUGCCUCAACAUCGAGAUGUGUUUUGUGAAACACAUCAUGAAUACAGUCCAGUUCAGGGGGUAACUCCAACUGAUAAACAACUGGUCCCACGCAUUUUAGAAUCUAGUACGAUCCAAUAAACCUAAGGCUCAGCUUGCCCUUACGACCAAACCUCAGAACCUUCUUCCACGAAGACACCUUAAGAAAAAAAAAGUCCCCCACAGAGUACUCAAUCUCACGUCUCUUCAGAUCCGCUUAGGAUUUCUAUCUAUCAAAAGCCACUUUUAGAUGAUCUCGAAUCAGUCAAACCUUAUCCUCUGUCUCAGAAACCAGCUCAGGACCCAAAAGCUGAAGUUCACCUAACACAGUCCAACAUAGUGAAGUACAACACUUAGGACCAUACAGAGCCUCGUAAGGUGCCAUCUGGAUACUAGACUAGAAACUAUUAUUAUAGGCGAACUCAGCCAGCGAUAGAUAAUCCUCCCAACUACCUCGAAAAUCAAUCACACAACUCCGAAGCAUAUCCUCCAGUAUCUAAAUCACCCUCUCAGAUUGACCAUUGGUCUAAGGAUGGAACACAGUACUGAUGUACAAUCUUGAACCCAGAGCCUCCUGCAAUUUCUUCCAGAAUUGAGAAGUAAAGUGAGGAUCUCUAUCAGAAAUGAUCGAGAUCAGAAUUCCAAGUAGUCUUACUAUCUCAAAAAUGUACAACUUUACUAGCUUUUGCAUAAAAUAAUCAGUCUAAACCAGUAUAAAGUGAGUAGACUUGGUCAAUCGAUCUACGAUGGGUCAAACAGAAUCCUUCUUUAUGGGUGUCAAGGGCAACCCACUAACAAAAUCCAUCGUCACUCAUUCCCACUUCCAUUGGGGAAUCUUAACCGGCUAUAACAAACUUGAAGGCAACUGGUGUUCAGCCUUAACCUGCUGACACGUCAAACAUUGAGCCAUAGAAUCUGUGACCUCUCGUUUCAAACCCAGCCACCAAUAUAACUGUAACACCCCGUACCCGAGUCCGUCGCCGGAGUUAGACACGAGGGGUUUGCAGACUUAAAUCACUUCUUUGCACAAUCCAUUUUAAAUUUUCUAGGCAAGCUGGCUAACUGCAUCACUGUCACCUUAAAAAUCAUAUCUUGAGUUUAACAACUCAAAAAUCAGUUUCGUGAUUUUUCUCUGAAACGAGACUCAUAUAUGCAUCUAAAAAUUUUUUUCUAGAAUUUUUGGUUGGGCCAAUUAGUACAGUUUAUUAGUCAAAGUCUCCCAUGCUACAGGGAUCGACUACACUGACCUUUUCGCAUUACGACUUGAAUAUCUCCCUGUACAGGGCUUCAAUACUGAUUCUGUUUGUUUCUAUGGAAACUAGACUCAAAAAGGAAUCUAUGCAUAUAUGGCAUGACUUCUAAUUAUCUCGGGUUAAUUUAUAAUGAGUUUCCAAAGUCGGAACAGGGAAUCCAGAAACCGUUCUGGCCCUGUCUCACGAGAACCUGAAUAUCUCUUAACAUACUGUUCAUAUUAUCGUUUCAUUACUUUCCAAUGAAAAUAGAUUCAUCAAGGUUCGUUUACAUAAUUUAUUCACUAUUUAAUUCCAUUCCUACUAUUUUUAGUGAUUUUCCAAAUCUACAUCACUGCUGCUGUCAGCAUCUGCCUUUAAGGUAGACUUUACCUAUUUCAUAGUUUCCAUGAUUCAACUAGCCCUUUUAGCAUAAAUAGCACAAAUUAUGAUACUGAUUAACCAUUCCCAUGGCCAAUCCUUGUUAAGCAUAUCUACACCUCUCAAUAACCAUAUCCAUACCAAAUGAUUAUAACAUUAUGCUCAAACAUAUAUAAGCCAUUUUCGCAUGGCUAUCCAAAAUUAUACAAAUCCAAAGGGUCCAUGACCCACAACAAAAAGGGUAGUCCUAUACAUGCCAUUUCAAAGUUCAACCAAAAGUGUACCAAAAGGGGCUUUGAUAGUGUGGGCGACUUCGACUUCAAAAUUCCCGAGUCCGAUAGCUGACGAACCAAAAUCUAUAAAAUAGAGAAUCAAAGAAAUGGAGUAAACAUUUAGUGCUUAGUAAGUUUGAGCAAAGAAAUUAAGCACGACUGAAAUAUAGCAUUCAUAUAACUAAACGGAUAAUUUCAUAUGCACAAAUUCUCAAUAUCAUAAUUACUUCACAUUACCAACCCUUAUAUUCACACACAAAAUAUCAACUUAGCCAAGGCCAGAAACUCAUAAAUUUACUAAGCGAAUAUUAUUCGAAGGGAAUCAACUAUUCCAAUGCACACACAAAACAUACCUCAUUGUUGGGAUUUUACAAGCGUAUUAACUGAAACUUUUACAGCAAGAUUGCUCAUUCCCGAAUCACGUACCUUCGGAAUUUAACUGGAUAUAGCAACUCGUUCAAAUGCCAUCGGGACAUAGCCCUGUUACAGUAACUCGCACAAAUGCCUUCGGGACUUAACCCGGAUUUAGUAACUCGUAACAAUGCCUUCGGGCUUAGCCCAGAAUUAGUAACUCGCACAAAUGCUUUCGGAUCUUAGUCCGAACAUAGUCACUUAGCACAAAGCCUUCGGGUCUUAGCCCGGACAUCAUUUGAAUAACCAUGCACAUUUAUCAAUAAAUCAUGACACAUCCGUAUUUCAUUUUCAUUACCAAAGCUCAAACACAAGACACUUAUCACACUUGCAAUUUCGGCUCAAUAGCCACAUACAAAGAGCAUGAUUUUGAUUCGCUUAAAAUAUGAUCUAAUCAAUCCACCAUCACAUGUAUCAUUAACAAGCUUCACAUUUAGCAUGCAAUGACAUUAACACAAAAUCCACCUUGGCCAAAUAUCAUCUCCAUGACAUAGCAAAGAUUUGAACCAUGGCUAAUUAGAACUCAAGCUAGCAACUAAAAACAUGCAUGAAUCUCAUGGCACAACAUCAACAUACCUUAAUCUAGAUACAAGUAUGGCCGAACCUCCUCCUAAUCCUCUUCCAAACCAAACAUGAAGCAAGAACUCCUUCCUUCUUCCUUAGAAUUUUCGGCCAAGGAUGAACCAAAGGAUGAACACUUUUUUUUUGUUUUCUUUUCUUCCACUCACGGCAAUAGGGGGACAAUCACACACAUUCUUUCCUUUUUUUUUUCCAUUUCUUUAUUACCCAUACUCCUUAUUUUAUUUUUUCUAACAUACAUCACUAACAUAACAUGUUUGUGACAUGUUUCCACUCAUAGCAUGGCCGGCCACUAAGCUUAAAUUUGGUUUAAUUGACAUGCAAACCCAUCAUUUUCACAACAUGCAUUAAUAGGCCAUUUCACAUUUGCCUAGCACAUUUCUAAAUUUUCUCACAUAAGUCCUAUUUGACAAAAUUCACUUACAAUUGACAAAAUUCAAACAUGAAAUUUUCACACAUGCAUAUAUACAUAUAAUAAGCAUCAAAUAUGACAGCUAAUUAUUUUUAUGACUCGGUUUUGUGGCCCCGAAACCACUUCCCGACUAGGGUCACUUUAGGGCUAUCACAACUCUCCCCCACUUAAGAAAUUUUCGUCCCCGAAAAUCUUGCCGGUAAAUAGUUUUGGGUAUCGUUCUUUCAUAGAAUUCUUGGUUUCCCAAGUAGCUUCUUCGAUACCGUGUUUGAGCCAUAACACUUUUACUAACGGAACCCUUUUGUUUCGCAACUCUUUCACUUCACGAGCUAGGAUACGAUCGGUUCUUCUUCAUAACUCAAGUCAGAUUGAAUUUCAACUUCUGAUGGAUUAAUCACGUGUGACGGAUCGGAUCUAUAACGUCGAAGCAUCGAAACAUGAAAGACGUCGUGAAUCUUUUCAAGUUCAGGGGGCAAAAUCAAUCUAUACGCAACUGGACCAACUCGUUCGGAGAUUUCGUACGGCUCAAUGAAUCUCGGGCUCAACUUGCCCUUACGGCCAAAUCUGAGUAUCUUUUUCCAAGGCGAAACUUUAAGAAACACUUUAUCUCCCACCUGAUACUCAAUGUCUUUUCGUUUCAAGUCCGCGUACGACUUCUGGCGAUCUGUGGCUGCCUUCAGACUCUCACGAAUUAUUUUUACUUUCUGUUCAGCAUCUUUAAUCAAAUCAACUCUGAAAAUUUUACUUUCACCGAGCUCGGUCCAAAACAAUGGUGUACGGCAUUUACGACCGUACAAAGCCUCGAAAGGUGCCAUCUUAAUACUUGAUUGAAAACUGUUGUUGUAAGCGAAUUCAAUCAAAGGUAAAUACCGUUCCCAUGAACCACUGAACUCGAGGAUGCAACAUCUCAACAUAUCCUCAAGUAUCUGAAUUAUCCGCUCGGAUUGACCAUUGGUUUGGGGGUGAAAAGCGGUGCUAAAGUGCAGCUUGGUACCCAAAGCUUCUUGCAAUUUCUUCCAAAAUCGCGAGGUGAAUCUCGGAUCUCUAUCCGACACAAUAGAAAUCGGUACCCCGUGUAAUCUCACAAUCUGAGAAACAUACAAUUCAGCUAGUUUAUCCAAUGAAAAAUCUGUACGUACGGGGAUAAAAUGAGCCGACUUAGUCAUUCUAUCAACAACAACCCAAAUCGCAUCUUUCUUACUUGUCGACGGUGGCAACCCAGACACAAAAUCCAUCGUGACUCGAUCCCAUUUCCAUUCAGGUAUCAUAAUCGGCUGAAGUAAACCCGUAGGCACUUGAUGUUCCGCCUUUACUUGCUGACAUAUUAAACACUUCGAAACAAAAUCGGAAUGUCUCGUUUCAUACCAUGCCACCAAAACUAACGUCUCAGAUCGUUGUACAUUUUCGUACUCCCCGGGUGAAUCAACAUUCGGCUACAAUGAGCGUCGUUCAGAAUCAUCGAAAUAAGUUCUGAAUUUCUUGGAACACACAAAUGAUUUCUGAACCUCAAGAUAUCGUCAUCAUCAACUUGAAACUCUGAUUCCACAUUCGGAACACAUUCAGCCUAUUUUGCAACCAAUUCAUCAUCGACUUUCUGAGCCUCACGAAUUUGAGGAAUCAAUAAUGGUUUGGCUUUUAAUUCAGCUACUAACACAUUGUCGGGUAGAACAGACAAGUGUACAUUCGUCGCUCGUAAAGCGAACAGUGAUUUACGACUUAAGGCAUCCGCAACCACAUUAGCUUUUCCCGGGUGAUAGUCAAUGACAAGCUCAUAAUCCUUUAACAACUCGAGCCAACAUCUUUGUUCUAGAUUUAAGUCUCUUUGAGUCAUCAAAUAUUUGAGACUUUUGUGAUCCGAAAAUACAUGGCACUUUUCACCAAAUAAGUAAUGUCGCCAUAUUUUUAAAGCGAAUACGAUGGCAGCUAGUUCGAGAUCAUGGGUCGGAUAAUUUUUCUCAUGUGGCUUUAAUUGUCUCGACGCAUAGGCCACAACUCGACCUUCUUGCAUCAAUAUGCAACCUAACCCAAGUAGGGACGCAUCACUAUAAAUGACAAACUCUUUGCCUGAUUCGGGCUGCACUAGAAUUGGA
rnacentral:lncRNA from 1 species